GUUGUUGGGGUUGAAAUUGUUGCGCUUGGGGGCGGGAUUGUUUCCACCAUUGUUCGGCUUGGGUGCCGAGUCUCUUGGCUUCGGGCACUGUUUAGCAUAAUGCCCUUGCUGACCACAAGCAUAGCAGGUGACCCCUGGACGGUAUGUGAACUCCUUGUCCCUGGCAUGAAACUGUCCGACGGGCCUUGGCUCGGUAGUCAUGGAUCUCCUUGCAUUAGUCCUUGGGACCUCAGUCUUGCCCCGGUUGCUGCGGGCAAGAGUCGUCUUGUCCCUCUUCCGCUUACGGAUAUCUUCUAGACUACGGCGCUCAUUCUCCAAGGUGAUGGCCUUGUCCACCAGCGUCUUAAAAUCCAGAAAGGUGUGAACAAUCAGUUGGCAUCUCAGUGCUGGUGCCAGGCCGUCCAGGAAUUUUUCCAUCUUCUUGCUUUCUGUCAUGUGCUCGUCGUAGGCAUAACGAGACAGCUGGGUGAACUGACCAUUGUACUCUGUCACUGACAUGCCUCUUUGCUUCAGGUCAUCAAACUCUCUCUUCUUGAUCUUUAGGAUACUCCUGGGGAUGUGUGCCCCACGGAAGCCUUCCUUGAACUCUUCCCAGGUGAUGUUGUGUUCCCUGGGAUGCAUGUGUAGGAAGUUUUCCCACCAUGCUGCGGCUGCUCCAGUAAGGUAGUGUGGUGCAUAAAGCACCUUCUCAUGAUCUGAGCACUGAGCAAUAAUCAGUUUCCUUUCAACCUCACGGAGCCAAUCAUCGGCUUCCAGUGGCCUAUCGGUGUGAGCAAAAGUUGAGGGGCGAGUCUUCUGUAACUCGGAUAACUUGGAAUGUGGUUGAUAGGGUUCACGAUGGUUUCCCAUGUUGAUGACAUGGUUCAUCAUCUCUUGGUGUUGCUGCUGACUUUGCUCGAAGAGACGACAUACUUGGGACAGUGCUGCUUCGCUGUCUUGUUGGCUGGACUGACCUUGAGUGAAAUUGUUGCUGGUCUGUGUCCCGUAAACCUCUUCUGGCUGAUUGGGCAUGGAGCGAGUCCACGGGCGAGACAUUUUUCCAGUCUGGGGUAUUAUUUGUAAAACCCAUGAGAAAAACUGUGUAGCACAAGAAAAUCUUGCAAAGGCAACAAUUAAAAAGGCUUCAAGGUUUUCAAAGAGACACAAAUGAUUUUUCAUGGAGAAGAAGUGCUUAACAUAAAACUUACAUGCGAAAAGCAAAUACAUGAUACAUCACUCAGGAUGCGCGUACACAUCCUGACAUGUUAUUUAAAACUAGCGUACUACUCCGGAAGGCAGCAAACACACCAAUACAAACUGGCGUACAGAUAAAACAACACAUCAUACAGGCAGACAUAACACGCGGCUACUCGGUGCUCUCAGUUGGAGAUGGUGAAGAUCUCCUUCCCCUUGCCAAUGGCAAGGCUCAGCGGUCCAGGAGAGUCAACCUCCACCUCCUCUCUAGCUGGCUCCUGGCGCGUGGCGCUGCACUGCGGGGAUGGUGCGGGGGCGACUGGUGGUAGAGCGCGUGCGGCAAGCGGUGCGGCUCUGAAUGGAGUGGGAGCGAUGACUCGGUCGAACUCCUCAGUGGUAGGCAGACGGCGAGCAGUGGCCAAAACGGCCGGUGCAUAUGAGGCUGAAGACGAGACGAAUGUCAGAGGCGGCGCCGUGUGGAGAAGCUCCUUCCUGCUGGCAGGACCGCCUCGGACUAAGUCCAUGCGAGCAGCCACAAGAUCAUCUAUGAGGUUGUCGAAAGACUCCUACAGAGCCUUGAGAUACUCCACAACCAUCUCGAUGGCUUCAUCUCGUUCUCCCCGAUGGCAGGCGAACGCAUAGUGGCUGGUGUAGGGCACAUGGCAUGGGAGGUAGCGGUAGCGACGAGUCUUCAUCGUAGGAAGGAUGUCCCGAAGGCGAGCUGUCGCCUCGCGGGCAGCCAUCUGCAUGGCAUGCCUCUCCGUAGGCAUGGCCCUUCCCGUAAAACGGAAGUGGCGAGCAGCAGAGCGUCCUCCCCUGAACUGCACCACGGCUUGGUGCAUAGACACGUCGUCACUGAGCUUGUGCUGAUAGAGUGUGAACUCCGGGCGAGCUGCUGGCCCAAUCGCGAGCUUGGAGAUGGAGACGAGGAGCUUGACAAACCCCUCGGGCACGUUGGUGAACACUCGAUUCUCACAGCUGCUGCCAGCCAUCUACAAAAGUAGGCAAAAAUUCUGAGUAGUCAUGUCAUAAAUUUAUGAUGACCAACAGAAAAUAGCUACAAUUGCAAAAUGCUGAAAAAGCACAAAAGACGCUAAUAACCGAUUAGCGAUCGCACCUAGUGGCUUCCUACAGUCAGCCUGGCUCUGAUACCAAGCUUGUCAUGACCGGUUUUUCAAUAAAAUAAUUAUUGAGAGACCAAUCCCUUUUACGGACCAGCGAGGAAGAAUUCCUUCUCACUGGUAGACAAUAUCUUGGUCACAGAAGAAAAAUACCAGGAGUACUGAAUAUAAUACAAGGUUGAAUGAACUUGGCAGUAGAAUCCAGUUGAAUGAACUUCUUGACAUCAGCAGGGGUGACACCUUCACCAGUCUUGGGAACACCAUUCUUGACGACAUACCAGAGGUCGACAUCAAUGGCUUCAAGAUGCAUGCGCAUCUUAUUCUUCCAGUAGGGAUAUUCAGUUCCAUCGAAGACGGGGCACGCAGCGGAGACUUUGAUUAUCCCUGCAGUCGACAUAGCUAAAACUCCAGGUGGUUAAACCGAAUCACACAGAACAAGGGAGUAUCUUGCUCUAAUACCAAUUAAAAGUGCUAGUUAUUGACUAGAGGGGGGCUGAAUAGGCGAUUUUUAUGAAAGUCUUCAAAACAUGAGAGUUUCGAAGACAAACAAUAGAAAUGAACCUAUUGAUAUGCAGCGGAAGGUAGACUACACUAAGCAAGCCAUAGUCAAGUAUUCAAUGAAGUGAAAGCACGAAGACUAAUAGCAGCUAUGUAGUAAAGAUCAGGAUGGAAGAUAGUAUGAAGCCAAACAACAAUAGUAGUCACACAGUGAAGUCAAACAGGUGAUGCAAACGGGCAAUGACUUCACGGCGACAAACUGUAAAUGAAGAGAGGGAGACGAUAGAACCAGUCGCUUGGCGAAGACUAUGAUUUGUUGGACCAGUUCCAGUUGCUGUGAUAACUGUACGUCUGGUUAAGGAGGCUGAGAUUUAACUCAGAAGACCGUGUAUUCACCUUAUUCCCCUUGAGCUAAGGACACCCAGUCCUCGCCCAAUCACUCUGGUAGGUCUUCAAGGUAGACUUCCAAACCUUCACAGACUUUGUUCACCGGCGAUCCACAAUGACUCUUGGAUGCUCAGAACGCGACGCCUAACCGGCUAGAGGAUUCACAGUCCUCAAGUGUAACAAGUCUUCAGGUCGCGCGGACAUAAAGACUUCAGUGAUGCCUAACACUCUUUGGCUCUGGGUGUUUGGGCUUUGUCCUCGCAAGGAUUUCUCUCUCUCAAAACCUUCGGAGGUGGGUUGCUCUCAAACGACAAAAGCCGUGCACUUCUGAGCAGCCACCAAUUUAUGGUGUAGGGGUGGGCUAUUUAUAGCCACUAGGCAACCCGACCUGAUUUGUCCGAAAUGACCCUGGGUCACUAAGGAACUGACAUGUGUCCCAACGGUCAGAUUUCAAACACACGCGGCAGCUUGACUUGGGCUACAAGUAAAGCUGACUCAUCCAGCUCUGGAUAAGAUUUGCUCUCAUUGUCUUCGCUCGGAGACAUAAGAUUUUGGUUGAGCAUCACUUCAGUCACUCUGACUUUGUUCACUGGGACCCCACUUAACAGUACGGUGGUUCCUAUGACUCAACACAGAAGAAAAGGAAACACAACAACUAAGUCUUCGCGCUCCAUAGUCUUCACACGAUGUCUUCUCUAGUCAUAGUCUUCAAUGUGAAUAUCUUCACAUACCACCAUUGUCUUCAAUGUCUUCAUACAUUUUUAGGGGUCAUCUCCGGUAGGUAAACCGAAUCAAUGAGGGACUACUACCUGUGUUAUCCUGCAAUUCUCACAAACACAUUAGGCCCUCAAUCAGGUUUGUCGUCAAUACUCCAAAACCAACUAGGGGUGGCACUAGAUCAACUUACAGUUUCUGUAUUUUUGCUCCAUAAUGUUUAGGAUUUAAAAACAAAAUGAAAUUUGAAAAAAUCAUCAAGAACUUGACAAAUGCUCCCAGAUUCAAAAAUGUUUACAACUUCAGAAAAAUGAUCACGAUUUUAAACAAUGAUGCUGUAAUAAAAAAGAUUCAUAGACAAAUGUUUGUUGAUUCAAAACAUAUUCAUGAUUUUUAAAAGCUUUGAUAAUUCAAAAAUCUUUGUUGAUUUAAACAAUGCCCACAAUUAAAUAAAAUGUUUAUGAAUUUCAGAGAAUGGUCCGCAAAUUUCAAAAAAGUUCCAAAAUUUGAAAAUAGUAUGUUCAUGAAUUCUAAAAAUGUUUAUCAAAAAUUAAUCUGAGUUUAAAAAAUGUUCAUGUAUCUGAAAAAAUGAUCACAAUGUUCGAAUGAUGUCGGCAGUUUAAAAAAUAUUGAUGAGUUUGAUGAAUUGUUCUUGUGUUGUAAAAAUGUUCACAAAUUAAAAUAAUUUCAUGUGUUUCGUAAAAGUUAAUAAAUGCAAGAAAAUCGUGAAUUUAGAAAAGUUUACUAUUUGUUACUAAACAUUAUUAGUUUGAAAAAGGAAAAAAAGUAAUGAAAAAACCGUGUAAAGUGGAAAAUAAGAAAAUGAAGAAUGAAAAAGAAAAGUUAAAAUAAAAUAAAGAAAAAUCAGAAGUAAAUCGAAGGAAAAUAAAAAUUGGUCCUGGGAACUUUCCUGGGGUAAAUGAAAAGCGAAAAAACAUGAUUGAAACUUAUCAUUUUUUUAUUUCUCAGAGGAUGAACAUAAUUUCCACACGAUAGAAGAAAAUGUUCAUGUGCACAUCAAAGCUAACCAUUUUUAAUUUCUCAUAAAAUGUGCAUAAUGUUUUUUAAUGUUUGUGAAUUUUCGAAAUUUUUGUAAAUUUCAAAUAUAUUUGUUUUUUUUAAAAUACUCAUAAUUUCAUUAAAAAUGUCAUGUUUAUUAAAAAGUUUAGACUUUGGUAGGAAAUUCAAAAAAUGGUCAUAUUUAAAAUAUAUUCAAUUGUUUAAAAUAUGCUGACAAUUUUUUUUAAAGUGUGUUCUCCAAAAACCAUUCAUGUUUUCCAAAAGUGUUAAUAACUCACUUGCCACUUUUCUAGUUUAUUGGCUCCCUUCGCAUUUUUGCCAAAUUUUGAUCAUAGAUAUAACUAACAAAAUGUUAAUGCAUGUCGCAAAAAGUUAUAUCAUUCGAUUCGUAUUGAAUACAGUUUCCAAUAGCAUUAAUUUUUCAUGUAUAAUUUAUAUUUUUAGUUAAAAUCAUGGUUAAAAUAUGACACUAAAUAUGAAGAGGACUAAUAACCAGAACUGAGGAAGUAUGUGACAUUGCAAUGAGCGCAAGUGAAGAAUACUAUAGGUUUUCGACAUGCAUGCAUAGCCUUCUGGGCUUUCAAGUUUCAACAUAGUGUGCGGCUUACAUAGUCAUACAGAGCAUUGCUAUGGGCAAGCAAAAGCCUUGCGAUGGAAUUCUUCAUCUGAUAUCCAAUUAAUAGCCCAAGGCCAGCUUGUUUACACAGCUAGUGAACCCAUACGCACGCAAAUUUAGGCGGGGAGCUGCCAUUUAUCGUGCUGGUCGGCAGAUAGCAGCCAAUCAGGCACCCCUGCGGCCCGGCGCGCAUUUUCUAUAUGACGCGCGAGAGCGUCAAGGCGUCGCCGAUUCGCUGAAGCGAAGCGACCGAUCGGCAAGAUACGGGCCAGCACACUUGAGCGAGCACCUGGUUUUGGAAAUCUUCCAGAAGGUUCCCUGAACCGGCUUUUUCCAAUUAUGGUUUCUUUUACAGGUUUUUCAGGUUUUCUUAAUUAAUUUUACUUUACAUUUUAUUUCUUUGUUUUUUUUUCUUAUUUCACCCUUUUAUUUUCUUUUUCCCACUUUUUUUUGUUUCUUCUUUCUUUUCCUUUUUUCCAUAAACUCAAAAUUUCAAAAACAUGUUCAGUUUUUUCAAAAUCCAUUUGACUUUCCAUAAUAUGUUUUUGAAAGUCCAAAUUUGUUCAUGUUUUCAAAUUUUGUUCUCGAUUUACAAAAGGUUUUGAAUUCCAGUUAUUUGUUCACCAAAUUGAAGAAAAUUGUUCACCAUACAUUGAAAAAAUUAGUGUGUAUAAAAAUGUGCAUCGUGCAUAGAACUUUUGUUCAGUAUGCAUUCAAAAAAAGUUCAUCGUAUUUUUUCUAAAUGUUUAGUGUGUAUUUGAAUAAUGUUCAUCGUAUACUAAGAAAAUCUUCAGCGUGUAUUCUAAAUUCGCUUUCUAAAAAUUGUUCACAAUACAAAAAAAUUGUUCCAAACUCGAAUUUUUUUCACUUUUUGUAAAACAUGUUUCAUGUUUAAAAAAGAAUAUUCAAAUUUUUUCUACGAAUUUCAAAACAUUGUUCACAUAUUUAGGUAUUUUUUCAUUUUUUUCCAAGAAUUGUUGGAAAAUGUUGAAAAACCCAGUAUCUACCACCUACAUUGUACUCCCUCCGUUUCUUUUUAGUCCGCAUAUAAGGUUUGGUCAAACCUUUAUAGAGUUUGACUAACUUUAUAUUAAAAAUAUAAACAUUCACAAUAUGAAAUCAAUAUUAUCAGAUGCACCAUGAAACGUAUGUUCAUACUAUAUAGUUUUAGUAUUGUAGAUGUUCAUAUUUUUUUAUAUAAAUUUGGUCAAACUUUGUGCAGUUUGACUUUGACCAAAUCUUAUAUGCGGAAUAAAAAGAAACGGAGGGAGUACUUUAAAGCGAAUGCUAUCAUUCUAACCUCCAGAACUCGUAGCCCAGCUGGAUAGCUUCAAUAGCAUGCGUCGCGAGGUCGGGAGCUCAAGAGUCCCAUCACGGUCAUUUUUGUUUUACAGUUACCGCGUUCGCUCGACGCUACAUUUGGGCCGGCCCAUUUGUGCAUAUGCUUUAGCGAAAGCAGCUCGCGGGCAUAAAAACGAGCUGCUUCCCAAAACUGGAAUUAGCUAUUUAGGCCGGCCAAAACCUACGCUUCUUGAAGGGGGGCGGGGGGUGCGCGCGUGGUCGCUAAGCAAUGACCUGCCUGCACUCGGCAAGCUGAGAGGUAGGGCGCUCACUAACCGGCGCCAAACACAACCUCCCUCCCAAUACUCGAUUUGGGGCAGACUAAGGCAUAGCCUAGUGGUGGGAAGGGGCUGAUGCCUUUCACCCACCUAGGUUCAAGGCAUGGUAUUUGCAAAUUGGGUUUGUUCUCUAGAUGCUUUGAUGAAAAUCAAAGUCGUGAUUUGUACCAAAACUAUAUUAGGAACGAUGUAAGCUAGCAAACUCCUUGUGUAAGUUGCUCUGUGGUUUGACUCCCACUCUCCUUGUUGACUAAUCGGUAACAUCUUUUCUCUUUUUAUAUAGGGGAUACUUGGCGCCAGAAUUUCGUGAAGGUGGUGUAAUGGCACCCAGUGCUGACUUGUAUAGUCUUGGUGUUAUUGUCAUAGAAAUAUUGACAUGGGAGAAGGGGUAUCAACGGACUAGGAAUGUAAGAACAAUAUAUGCCAUUGUUACAAGAUAAUAUCUCAACUUCCUUUUUGGCUAAGAAGGACCAACUUUUAAAAAAUGGGCACCCAUUUACUUCUCAUAUUGUCACUAUAUUUUAGUUUCAGAUGUAUAUAAUCAUAUUAUUUAUCGAAGCACACCCAGAAGUGGUAAGCAUAGUUUUGGCUGCAAAAGAAUUAACACGUCAAAUUAUUGUUAAAGAAGUUUUCUUCUCAGUUUGAUGCAUCAUUUCUGAAAGUACAAUUUACAUUGUGAUAGACCUGACUUGAAUCUAGUGGGACACGGUCUACAUUCCAGUGAAUUUUUGUUCUUCGUUUGAUGCUUGAAUCUAUGUGCUUGCUAUAUGGUAUACAUAUUAUUUCCUAUAUAGAAAGAUGCUGCAGAUCCAUUCCAAAGAUCAUAACCCAUCAUUGAAAUUAUUUAGGUGCUUGAAAGUUGGAAUGAUUUUUUUUGAAGAGUACGCAAUCGCGUACCUUAGCUUUAUAGAAGACAGAAAUAUGUACAAGAGAGUUUUACAAUAAGGAGGUAAGUCGUCGCACACGACCAGACCGUUGCCUAGGACCCCCAACACCACUCCUAAAACUUAACUCUACUACUGACAAAAGAUGCUAACUCCACGGCCUCCGGCCGGCCAACACCCAAGUACGUAGCAUCUCGAAUAUCUGCAAGGUGAAGUGCUGCACCGUAUCUAUGGAAGUUCUCUGACCAAAAACGAUCCCAUUCCUAUGCUUCCACAGCUACCAAGAAAUCAACAUAAUCAGUGAGUCAAAAGCUCUCCUGUGUUCGGCUGGAGUGCGAGUGCGACUUGUCAUCCACCAGUCCUCCAGAGUAUCCAUCGCCGUAGGAACCAGCGAGAUAUCCACUCUAGCCUGUUGAAAACACCGUUGCCAAACUUGACGAGCAAACACACACUGAAUAAGGAUGUGGUCCACCGUAUCUUCAUCCUGAGCACAAAUAUAGCAUGGUGAUCGCUCAUCCUGGAGCCCAUGUCUGAACCUGCGAUCUGCCGUCCAUAGUCGAUAUUGCGUGGCUAGCCACAUGAAGAGCUUACAAGAGAGAGGCGCCCAACACCUCCAGAUUGCCUUAGACGGGGCGAAUCUUAUACUUCCCACAACAUCGCAUAAGUAGAUGCCGAGGAGUAAACCCCUAGAUUGUUCCAUUUCCACGUAGGGAUAUCUUGAUGUGUUGGAUCAAGCUGUAUGUUAAUCAUAAUUUCCCAAAGGCGAACGAUCUGCACCAUCCCGUCAGCCGACAAAUCUCCACAAACAUCGUUGGCCCAUCGAUGAAGCUGUAAAGCCUCCGAGACAGUCCUUCGAUUUGCCACUUGCGUGCGCACCCGAGCACGAACCAGUGGCGCAAGCUCGGCAACGGUGGAUCCAUAGAGCCAUCUAUCUUUCCAGAAAAGUAUGCGCUGCCCGUUUCCAACGUUCCAUUGCACCAGACUGGUGAAAGCCGCAUGUGUCUGUUUAUCCAUCACAAGCGAGAGACCCUGCCAUGGCCUUGCCUGGUCUGUGCGCUUCAACCAUUCCCAGCGCAAUCUAAGAGCCAGCCCCUGCCUAUUGAGGUCGAGAACUCCAAGCCCUCCAAGUUGUUUGGGACGGCAAACUCUCUGCCAUGCCACUAAACAUUUACCUCCGUGGAUUUGGUCUGAACCAGCCCAAAAGAAUGCUCUGCAGGCCUUGUCCACCCGAUUCAGAGCCCAUUUGGGAGCAUCUGCGGUCAUGAGAUGAUGCGUAGGCCUCGCGCGAACCACGCUGUUCACCAGGAUCAGUCUGCCUGGCCGCGUGACCAGUCCUCUUUGCCAUCCCGGAAGGAAAUUGAGUACUUGAUCCACAAUCGGUUGCCAGUCUACUCUCGUGAGCUGUUUGAUCGAAAGUUGCAGCCCCAGAUACUUACAUGGGAAAGAAUCCAUGCGCCAAGGUAAAGCUUGUGAGACUCGCAACAUGUCCGCUUCCUCUGAUCGGGGCAUAAUCGUCGAGGACUUGGCAAAGUUCACGUGUAGUCCUGACGCUCUGCCGAAGAUUUGCAAAGCUUCUCUGACAAAACAUAAGUCACUUGUAGUCGGCCUGAUGAAAAGGAUUACAUCAUCCGCGUAAAUCGAGAGCCUCUGAAGAGGGGUGCAUCCUGGCAUCGCACUGAUCGCCUCCAUCUGUUGAGCUUUGAUCAUCAUAGAGGAGAGUGUAUCCAUGGCAAUGACAAACAGGACAGGGGAGACCGGGUCCCCUUGGCGUAGCCCUUUUGCAUAUGGAAACUUUCUGCCCUGGCAGCCGUUGACAAUCACCCUUGAGCUAGCUGUGGUAAGAAGAGUAGCCAGCCUCGAAACCCAAAGUUCUGAGAAACCUUUUGCUCGCAACACCUGAAAUAAGAAAGACCAGGAGAUGGAGUCGAAAGCACGUGAGAUAUCAAGUUUGAGCAUGACACCUUUGGCCUUCCUUUUAUGCAGAUUCCGAGCCACCUGUCUCACGAGGAGGAAGUUGUCGUGUAUGUUUCUCCCACGGAUAUAUGCGGACUGAUUCACGUUAACCAAUUCUCCCAUACAUGGGCAAAGCCUUGAUGCCAUCAGCUUGGAGUUGAUCUUGGGAAUACUAUGUAGAAGGCUGAUCAGCCAGAAAUCUCCUAUUCGGCAUGCAUCAGGUUUUUUGGGGAUGAGAGUGAUGAUGGCCUGGCUGAGCCUGCCGAAGCCUCUGCCAUUGCCCAGUUGAAAUUUGUGAAUCGCCGCCAUAACAUCCCCCUUGAUUAUCUGCCAAGUUCUGCAGAAGAAGAGACCGAUGAACCCAUCCGGACCGGGAGCACGAUCCGAUGGCAUCCCCUUAAUAACAGUCCAUAUCUCCUCCUCGGUAAAGAUGGUGUCUAGUUCAUGCAGAUCUAAAGGCUCCACGCCCAGAAAAUCCAGAUUGAGGGUCUGAUCUCUGGAUUGAUAAGUGCCCAGCAACACCUUAUACGCAUUAUAAAAUGCCUCCUCCUUGCCCUCUUGCUCAGUGAUAAUAUGAUCGCCAAGAUGCAGCGCCGGGAUGAAGUUUCUGAGUUUUCUGCCAUUUGCCAUGAGGUGGAACAAUUUGGUUUUAGCAUCCCCUUCGCUAAGCCAUCGUAUCCUGGAGCGUUGUCGGGCAAUCAUGCGUUCGAGCGAGGAAAGCCCUAAAGAGGCCAGUUUCAGGUUGUUGCGCAGCCACCGUUCGCCAGCCAAAAGCACUCUAUGAUGCAGGGCUCUGUCCAACUGCAGGAUCACCCAAUUGGCGAUCGCAAUCUGUAACUUAACAUUUCCUACUUUUUUCUGUCCCCACGCCGUGAGGUGCCGGGCUGUAUUGUGAAGUAACACAUCAAGAUGAUGAAAAGGCUCCGUAAUGUCCGGGGUCACAGAUCCAAGCUUCCUUAACUGCCUCCUCAAAACCCUCUAACUUGGUCCAGAAAGACUCGAAGCGAAAUCUUCUAUGUGGUUGUAGAUGAUCAUGUAAAGCCAGAUGGAGCAGGCAGUGAUCAGAAGUCGCUGUGGACAAAUACGAGUAUGCUACAAAAUAGCUUUAGAGUGCAGAGAAUUCAAUCCAAAGAAGAUACAUUAAGCAACAGAUCCGGACGAGGAUUGGUGAUUAGUAGACGAGCAGCAUGCAAGGAGAGCGACUAAAAUGAGCUGCAUGCCCAGAAGUGAGGCGCGAGCUGCAGCCACCCCAUUUUCAAACAUGCAUGCAUAUAACAACAAAACAGAUGACAUCAGCAAAGAUUCCUUUGUAAUUUAAACUUUAAAAUGUUUUGUAGCUCAAACCGUCGCUCAGAUUUAAAAACCGCUUUCACAUAAAAAAAUGGUCGCGACGAGACCUUCAAAACUAGAUCCCAUCUUCAUAUGUUUCGACGACUUUUUUUCAGUACAAAAUUAACACGCGUGUGCUACAUAGGUUAUCAUGUCGGUUGUGUAUAACUUAUGAUGUUGUUUACACAUAAAUUAUCAAGACAUAAAAAUAGUUCUUGUAAUCUUCCCUUCACAUGCACAUGGAGGCAUGCAUUAGAAGGAAAAAAACUGAUGCAUCCUGGUUUCUACAUAUUUCAAAACUUUAAAAUGUCUUAUAGCUCAAACCGUUGGUUUGAUCAAAAAAUCAUUUUUACAUAAAAAAUUCGUUGCGGCGAGACCUACAAAACCAAAUCCCAUGUUGAUAUGUUCUGACGACUUUUUUGUUUGCAAAAAGUUAUCAGGCCUAGGCCAAAGAAGUUAUGAGCUCUCAUGUUUGUAUAUUAUCAUGAUUUUUACACAUGAUUUAUCGUGAUACGUUCUUAAUAAAAAAAUUCAGGACAAAGUUACCGCGGUGUUUGUGCAUGAGUUACCACACUUGUCAUCCGUACAUUACCACGCUAUUCACACAUAAGUUAUCGAUGAUAUGUUUCAAACAACUUCUCCUCCCCAUGGGGUCAAAGUUACCGCGGUGUUUGCAUGUAAGUCGGGUCUGCGGUUCGUAUAUUAUCAUGUUUACACAGAAGUUACUGGUGCAUAUUUUUAACAACCUUUUCCAUCGGGUUAAAAAGUUAGCACGUUGUUUGUAAUUGAGUUAUCAUGUUUAUGGUGCAUAUAUUACCAUGUUUUUUCCACAAAAUUUACCAAGGGUAUGGUUUCAAACAAAAAACUCUCUUGGUAAAAGUUACCGUGAUGUUUGUGCGCAAGUUACCAUGUCCGCAAGUUACCGUGAUGUUUGUGCCUAAGUUAUCAGGUUUGAGAUGUGUAAAUUAUCAUGCUAUUUACACAUAUGCUACCGGGGAUGUAUUAUACCGCAUGUAGCCCAUGUUGAUAACUAUAGUCCAUCUAGCCUGGUAACUACAUAAUAACCAUGUUGAUAACUAUAGUACAUGUAGGCCGAUAACUAAAUAGUAACCAUGUUGGUAACUAUGGUACAUCUAGCCCGGUAACUACAUAAUAACCAUGUUGUGGGAUGGUGCAUCUUGUCCAUUCUUCAGAAGUUUGAUGCGGGAGGACGGACGUUGGAGAUUCUGAAAUCAAGUGCACACUAAAGUAUCAUUUUCAGAAAUCAGAUCAUUGAUUGACCAUUUUUUUUUCUCGAUCUAAGAUUAUUUCCUAUGAAUCCUCGUCAUCACGUGUUUACGAAAAGAUAAAUAAUAUGAAUAAGAAAGAAAUAGGGGGACGAGAGCAUGAUGGAGAUUCCUCAAAGAAAAGAGAGUGAAUAGCAAAAACCUACCACAUUACGGGCUAUCAUUCCGAAAAACUACCGCUUUUUUAAUUUUUCAAAAAACUACCACAAAAGUGGUUGGUUGUUCCAAAAAACCCAAGUGGCCGAACGGUUAAGUUUUAACUGGGGUUAUGACAUGUGGGGCCCGCCCGUCAAGGUUUUGUCGGCCAUAGUACUCACGGUGCGCGGGUGACGGCCGUUAGGGCGCACGGUCAAGACGGAUUCGGCCUGCCCUCACUCUGUCUUCCCCCUCUCUGUCUCCCUCUCUCUCGCGUGCGCCUCCCUCUCCGAUGGCGGCGGCGGCGGCGAAACCAGGCGAUGGUGGCCAUUCAACGGGUGGAGGUGGAAGGGGGGAUGGAGGCAGCGAGUUCUCAGAGGUUGAUAACUGGCUGGGGAGCGGUAGCUUUGCAACCCAGCCGGCGCCGCCGCCGCCGCCGCAGUGGACACCACAGGCUGUAGCUCUGAUGCAGGCUCCUACGCCAUAGGCUACACCGCCGUCGCCUGACGAUUGUCAGUUCUCGCUUGAGUACAGAGCAGCGAGGUAUCUUGCUAGCACUGUGCAGGCAGAUCCGGCCAACUCCCAGCACUCGGCCUCUGCAUUUGGAGGGGUGGAGUAAGUUUUUUUCUCUUAUGAACUCCUUCAACAGUUUCUGCAUUUCUGCUUGUUCAUUUCAAACAACAUAGCAUAAUUUAGUUAGUUUUUUGACCAAACCGUAGGUUGAUGUUGCUGUGAUUCAUCUUAGAACAUGAACAUGCACUGAAUAAAGGUUGAGCAAACACUCUGUGGCAUAUUUUGGAUGCAACAGUAUCACUUAGCACUGAAGGAUUAGUUAGAUUUAGUAGAAAUGCAUGGUGGAUUCAGAGAAGCAUUUGUUGGAUUCAGAUUCCUUACUGUACUUUAUAGUUAGUGUGCACUGAAUUUUGUAGCAAAAUACACUUAGUUAGUUGGGCUUUUCAAAUAACAUAUUAUGUAAUGCAGGCUGGAUGAUGAAAUUUGGGAGGUUAGGCUACAUUUCCAGGGCAGAGCUCCCCUAUCAAUCUCAAAGUCUGAGGAUGAUUUGUCAAUAUCAUCAUCCUCUUCACCAGUACGUAGUCUGUCCAUCAUCAUCUCCAUCAUGAGCUUCUGAAAUGUUCAAGUUACAGCUUUGCUGUGUGUUCAAAUUAACUUCAAGAGGGUGGACCACUCCAUCUUGUGACAGACUUAACACAAAACCAGGACCCCCCACCGGACUGCCUAUUGGAAUUUGUUCUUCACAAACAUUGUGAGCCCUGUUACAUUCAACAUCUCUAUCUUCAUUUGCCUUGGAAACAAUGAUAUUGAGCACUGUGAAAUCUGAGUGGUCUAUCAUUUCUUCAACUGCAUCUUGACUGUCCAGAAGCAAUAAACCUUCCUGUCCAAUCCCUUGUUCUUUUACCCAGUACAUGUAGUCAUCUGACCCAUAGCCUUCAGUCUCAGUAAGUGCUAUCAAGUUCAGGAAAGUGAUAUCUGAAAGGUAUUUUCUCUAACUCUAUAUUAUUCUUAUGCACAUAGCAAUGCUGCUAUAGUUAUCUCAUUACUAGCUUAUGUAAUCAAACAACAGGUCCUUCUUAAAGCAAUUAAUGAAGUAUUUCCUCAAUCCCCACAAAGAUAUUGCCUAAGACACAUAUAUGCCAACUUCCAGUCAGCUGGCUUUAGAGCAGAAGAACUUAAGAAAUGGGUUGACAAAGCUAGCUAUUCCUUCACUGAACAUGGUCACAAAUAAGGAAUGGCAGGUUUGAAAGCAGCAUGUGAACCAGCCUACAUGUGGUUGAAUGGCAUCCCUAAGGAGUGUUGGGCUAGAUAUGCAAUGGAUCAUGUGUGCAAGACUGACUUGGUAGUGAACAACCUUAGUGAGGUUUUCAACAAAAUGAUUCUAGAUGUUAGGUCAAAACCAAUUAAGACCAUGUUUGAAGGGUUGAGGACCAAACUAAUGGUUAAGUACCAUGGCAUCAGAGAGAAAACAGAGAGCUGUUGGUCGGAAAUAACCCCACAUUACAUGGAGAAGCUUGAAGAGAGCAAGAAGUGGGCUAAAUACUGUGAAGCAAACAUGGCUGGUCCCAACAUCUGGCAAGUAACUAGUGGAGAGAACACAUAUUGUGUGAAGCUUGAUGAAGGGAGCUGCUCCUGUAGGAGGUGGGACAUGACUGGAUCACCUUGCCACCAUGCAAUAUCUACAAUGCAGAAGAUAAAAGUUCACCCAGAAGAUUAUGUGCAUCCAUUCUUUAAGAAGCCAAUGUAUAAGGCUGCAUACCAGCACAUCAUCUACCCUGUCCCUGGUCCUGAAUUCUGGCCCAACACCAACACACCAGACAUAGAACCACCAGUUUUUAGGGAGAAGAAAGGCAAGAAGCAGACAGCUAGGAGAAAUGGUGAAUUUGAGGUGCCAGCUCCAAAGGAUACAUCAAGGAUGGGCACAAUAACAUGCAGUAACUGUGGUCUGCAAGGCCACAGGUGGACAAUGUGUGGAGACAGACUUAAGGCCAAGUUUAUGACAAGGAAAAACAACCACCAGGUAACUAAGCCAAUUCAACAAGGAAAAUCUGCUACUUGUUUUUAAUGCAUACAUCUUGUGAGCUGCAACUUGUUUUUAAUUGUAGGAAAACAGGGCAUCCUACCCAGCAACUUCAGCACCAACCAGGCCACCUCCAGCUAGGGCCACAUCAUCAGGUCCUGCUCCAGCUUCAGGACCAGUUAGGGGCAGGAAACCAGCAACAGCUUCAAGUCUGCUUCAACAAGGGCAACCACAUCUACUGCAGUUUCAACAGGUGGAUCAAGAAAGAGAAAGAACCCACCACCUGCUUCAGCACUAGCCAACAACACUAGGUCAAGUGCAUCAUCUCCAGCAAAGAACACCAGAUCAUCAAGAGUUGUAAGAGGUUUCAAUGCUCCAAGGGCAGCAUCAACAUCAGGUCAAGCUGAUGUUGGUUCUAAGAGGAAGAGGAAGGCCCCAAGCAAAUUUGCUUUGUAUUUCACAGCCAGUGGCAACCAUUGAAUGUGUUGCACUCAACUAUGCUUUAUGCCUUGAACUCUGCUUGUUAGGCAUGCUUGCUAUCUGUGUUAUUUGCAGUGAACUCUGUUUUCAUUUGAACAGUUAAGUUAUGUGGUCUGUGUUUGAACUGCUUGGAACAAUUAAGUUAUCUCCUGUGAAGCUCUAUUUUGAUUUGAUAUGUCCUAGGUUAUGAAUUGUUUCAUAUGAAAUUAUUUCUUAUGCUGAUCAUUGUUAUGUAGAUCAAGUGAUUUAUUUUGUUGAUAAUUGAUUGAUAUGAUUAGGUCAAUUUGGUCACUUUGGGGGGCAACUUGUCGACCAACCCCAAAGUGGCCAAAUUUGGCCACUUUGGGUGGCUAUUUGUCGACCCCAAAAGUGGCCAGUUGUGGACCAACCCCCAAAGGUGCCAAAUGUGGCCACUUUGGGUGGCUACUUGUCGACCAACCCCAAAAGUGGCUACUUGUCGACCAACCCUAAAGCCACCCAUAUUUGACCACUUUGGGUGGCUAGUUGUCGACCAACCCUAAAGCCACCCACAUUUGGCCACUUUGGGUGGCUACUUGUCGACCAACCCCAAAAGUGGCUAGUUGUCGACCAACCCCAAAGUGGCCACAUUUGGCCACUUUGGGGGGCAACUUGUCGACCAACCCUAAAGCCACCCAAAUUUGGCCACUUUAGGUGGCUACUUGUCGACCAACCCCAAAGUGGCUAUCUAGGACCAAAACCUAACAUAUCAAAGCUAAAACAUCAAGAUUUGCCCAUCUAGGCACCAAAGUCUAAGAGAUCAAACCUAAAACAACAAGAUUUGGCCAUCUGACCAAACCAUAACAUAUCUAACUUAAAACAUCAAGAUCGCCAGAUCAAUUCAUUCAUACAUACAAAUAUAGAUAAAAGAUUCACUCAUAAAUUGCAUCAUAGACAGAUUGAUUCAUCACAUAGAUAGAUCAUUCAACAUUUUUCUUUCACCAGCUUCAUACAUUGCAUUGCAUCAUAGUCAACUUGAUUCAUCACAUACAUAACUCAUUCAAUAUUGUUCUUACACCAACUUUAAACAUCACAUAGAUAGAAAGACAGAUCUAGGAACACAGAAACAUAACAGCAACAUCAUGGGUACAGAAUCCUAGUCCACCUCUGCCUAGUGACCUGAAAAGGAUGGAAAUUUGCCAGCCAGGGGGAAUGCCUCCAGGAACUGAUCUAUGUCCUUGCAGUUGCGUGCUGCAAGGAUCAUCUCAGCAAGUUGCCUUCUCGCCCUCCUCCUUGCAUCUUUGCGCCUGGCUUGCCUGGGCACCUCUUCUUCUCCAUCUAUGACCUCUCCAGGAUCCAUCUCUCCCUCGGAUUCUAGGGUUUCUUUGGCGGCUGGGGGUGGAGAAGGGUGGGGAUGGGGGGAUUGACUGCGAUUUCACUCAAGGGGUGGGCUUUACAGACUACUAAUGGUUGGUGGUAGGUAGGUGGAGUAAUAAAACAGCACAGUCUAGGCCCACAAUGUGUACAUAAAGGUUUUAGGCCCAAAAAUAUACUAGUUCAGCAUUGCUAGUUUCAGGAAAACAACCUAAAGAAAUAAAAAAUUUCUUCACUGCAUUACUUAAGAUAGAUAGGUUCUUAACAGUACCAAUAACAUAAGCCAGACUUAGCAAAUGUUCUCCACCACUCUAGUUACCAUAACUUAAACAAUUCAUACAGGACUGCACAAAAUAUACUCCUACCAUCAUCUUGCAAGGCCUGUUAUAUGUGUAGGCCACCUUACUUACUUAACCACCAUUGUCCAGAUCUUCAAGCCUCCAGUAUGGCCUUGAUUUUCUCAAGCUUUUCCUUGCUCCCAUGGCCAGCAUUCAGUAGAUCAGCAACUACUUUCUCAAGCUCUGUCUUCUCUUGUGCAAGAAGAUCCCUGUCCACCUUUAUCUCUUUCAUUGCCUUCCUGGUGUUGUGAAUUAUGUCUGCCUGGGCCUGAAGGAUACACCUCUGUUCUUUUGCUAGCCUUAGCUUCUCCAUCUUCAUCUCCAGCUCUAGCUCUUCCUUCUGCUUCUCAAAUUUCUCAGCAUCCAUUGCUUUCUGGUAGUCAAUCUUGCCAACACCAUCCUGCCAGUCAAACAUCUUGCUAACAUCAUCAACCAUUUUAUGAUACUCAGUGCACAGAUGAUCAUAGUCCUUCUUCAACUUGGCAACCUCAUCCUCAUAUGCAUGCUUGUCUUGAAUCCUUCCAAGGUUUUGCUCAUGGAACAUUUCCCACAACUUGAUGAGGCAGUUCUUAAGUACAUCAGGCCAGGCAGGAUCAACCCACUAAACUACACCACAAUUCACACCUCCCUGUAGUUUGAUCAGAGAACACAUACUUCAGAAAAUGCAUAAAUUCAGUUCUAACUUCAAUUCAAAAAGAGGAUUGGUACAAAAGGAGGACAUGUAACCAUAAAUUCAGUACUAAAUUCAGUUCAAACAGAGUUAUUAAUGUACAAAUUUAGUAACCACUAGGCAUAACUGAAUCCACUAGGCAUAACUGAUUCCACUAGGCAUAACUGAAUCUAGACAUUAACUGAAUCCACUAGGCAUAACUAAAUCCAUCCAGCAUACUCAAUUACUCACCUGAACAGGGCAUCCAUAGAACCUCCUCCCAGUGUUAGCACCUUCAAAAGCAACACACUUCCUAGGCUUCAUAUCGUGUAGAGUACACCUGGCAACUUCCUCCAUGGGAACACCACACCAGAGUGGUUCAGGGAUGGUGUCAGGUGUGUCCUACAUGCAGUAAAAGGUAGAUCAGAACCAAUGCAUCAACUAGUUCAACUUGAGUCAAGCUUUGCCUUGCUCAAGGUCAAAUCAGGCAUCACAGUGCCAUCCAUACCCUAGAUCAAAACCAAUAGAUAACCAAACCAAACGAAUCCAUCCAUACAAAUAUGCAGCUCAUCAACCCUCAUUCCCAAAUCGAUUCAACCCUAACCCUAGAUAAUGACAGAGAGGAAGAGGAUGAGGCUUACAAAGUACUCCAUGUCCAUCAGGUUGCCCCCAUGCUGUCAUCGGAGCUUUCAUCCCCAUCGUUCCAAGAAGGCAUCCUGGCCGGCGACGAGGAACUGAGGUGGUCGGCGACGAUGGCGAGCUCGGCCAGGGGAAACAGAGCGAGGGGGAGAGAGUGAGAGUGAGUGAGCGCGAGGGAGACAGAGUGAGGGCCGGAUCCGUUUUUACCUGGUCGGGACGGCCCGUGCGCCCUAACGGCCGUCACCCGCGCGCCGUGAGCACUGUGGCCGACAAAACCCUGACGGGCGGGCCCCACAUGUCAUAACCCCAGUUAAAACUUAACCGUUCGGCCACUUGGGUUUUUUGGAACAGCCAGCCACUUUUGUGGUAAUUUUUUUGAAAAAUUAAAAAAAGCGGUAGUUUUUCGGAACGAUAGCCGGUACUGUGGUAGUUUUUUGCUAUUCACUCAAGAAAAGAGAAAAGGAAAACAUCAUGGAAUGGUCAAAAGAAUGCGAUGUGCUUCCUUUUACACAACAAUUAGUCUAAUUGAGCUGGUUAGUAAGUGUUUCAUGUCAGCUGCUUGGUGUGGGUUCGAAUCCCAUAUUCAGCAUCAAUAUUUUGACUAAAAAAUCCCUGUAAAUAGGGUCUACCAAUAGAUCUAGCGCACAGAAAAAAUCAUGAUCGAUCCAAUCCAGAGAGAAAAUCACGGACAUCAACGUUUCAGGAAAUCUUUCCACUAAAUGCGUCAUCAAAUAAGCAACUUCUUCAGAUUUUCAAUCUCAAACAAAGAUCCACUACGCAUUAAAUCAAAGUGUUUGCGUCUUUAACAACGACGAAGUCUGGGUGAGAUGGUUAGUGUGGUGGCGUGCCUACAGGACGUCGGGGAUUCUCAUCCAUUCCGAAUGAGAUCCAGAUCGUUCGGAUCUGUUACAAACUGCCAGUCGGCACGAAUUUAGCAUUCUCGUUAUUUGUUUUUGUAUGGGCGAGUGCUGCGGGAGGGUGCCGGACAGGCGGCGGCGGUCGCGUCCGAACACGAAGAAAUCUGGAUCUGUCCGCGAUUCCAUUCCAUCGCUCGCAGCAAAAAGGCCGGAUUUUUCUCCCUUUGCUACUCGAUUCCCUGGUGAUUCUUCUUCCUUCUCGGGGCGAAAUCAAUCUUAUUUUGGUAUCUUCUGAGCCUUCCUGGAUCCACUCAAUCAAUCAUUCGCCACUCUCCAGUCCAGAUCUUCCCUCUCUCCGGAUUGGAUGCGAUAAGGAGCCGCCGACCAAUGGCGCUCGGGCACACGUGCCUCCACGUCCGGCGGCAUCAGCAGCAGCACGCCUCCUCCUCCUCCUGCUCCGCCCCCGCCGUCGCCGCCUUCGUCGGGCUCUGCCUGGUCGCCGUCUGGAUGGCCUCCUCCACCCUCGUCACCCUCGCCGAGUUCUCCCCGUUCCAGGCCCCAUUGUUGCGCCGCCCCGCCGCUCCGGUGGAGGGGACCGCGGGCGCCGACAAGCCCCCGGUCGGCGUCAGAGAGGAGAGCGCCGACGAGCAGGAGCCCCCUAUGACAGAGCGGCAGCAGGCGGAUCAUUCCACAGAGAAAGCAAAGGGGCUGAUGAACAACAGAGUGUGCCGGAGCUCAUGGGGAAGCCGGAUGAGGAUCCCGGCGAGAAGCCACAGGCAAAGAAGGAUGAAGCCGAGGUGUUCCCGGACGCGAAGGACGCCGAGCUCCUCAACAGACGGCGACAGGCCAGGCCCGUGGCGCACCCAGGCCGCGGAGUCCAACAAGGAGCGAACCACGGCGCCAGGUGUUCCAGCGAGCCACAGCUGGAAGCUCUGCGAUGUUGAGGCCGGAGCCGAUUACAUCCUACCUCGACAAUGUGGAGGCUAUCAAAAAGCUCCAGGGCGACAAGCACUACGAGCACCUGGAGAGGCAUUGCCCUGAGGAACCUCUGACCUGCCGCCGGGUCACCGGAGUCCGAUAAGGUGGCCGACGAGCAGAGACCAGGUUCUUUCUAGCUGGACACUGAACUGAAUUAUCUGUGUUGAUGCUUGAGUUCAGAUAUCUUCAGACAUGGUUUUGGUUUGUUUACCCGACUGACUAAGGUUUUGUUGGUGCAGAUAUGGUAUAGCAACGUUCCUCAUACCAAGCUGGUGCAGUACAAGGGGCACCAGAACUGGUUUCAUGUCUCCGGGGAGCACUGUUAGAGUUGUGUCGAAUAUUAUUGUACAAGGUAGGUUACAGUUGGACUUGAUUUUGGACUGUGUGUAGACAGGAUAGGAGUUGUGUCCUAGGCCUCUCAUAUAUAUCGGGGGUAGACACAUUAUGUAAUCUAUGCCAAUAUAAUAGCACGGGCAUGCGAAGGAGCUUGCGGCGUGUGCCGGCUUCCGGGCGGCCGGGGUGCGGUAUUGUGACGGUGUCAUUGGGAGGAGCGCCCGUAGUCAUGCUCCGGGGAUGUAGCCAUAUCGGUGAACCUCGUUAACAAAUCUCGGUGUCGUUCUUGUGUGAUUGCUUGGUCCUUAGUAGAUCGACGGAGCGCCUCGGAUUUAUUCUAACAAGUGGUAUCAUGAGCAAGGUUGAGAUCUGAAGGUUGCGGAUCCUUGAUUUAGAGGAGAGCGAUGAAGACCGGCGGCUGUGGAGGUACGGCGUACGUGCGGCAGCGAUCGGAGAUCGGCGCGUAUAAAGCAAUCGGAAUAAGAGAAGCUGUUCAUGGUAGAGUCGGCGAGAUUAGAAGUUGCAAAAGAUCGGAAGCGCGUACGGCGGUAGCUGGGUUCGAGGUGGCAGGAUCCGAGCAGAACACGUACAGCCAGCGGCAGCAGGGAGGCGGCGCGCGAGGCUCGACACACGCGUGGCCGACGAGCUAGCGUGCUUUCCAGGCCGAUCGCUCGAUGGAGGCUGGGGCUGGGCUGGUUGCGCAGCAGGCCCAUGGCACUCAGAUGGCCCAGGCGCAGCAAGCUAGGCACGCAGACGGUCGAACAGGGAGCAGCUUUGGUCGCUAUAGGUCUACAGAAGAAGCUUCGGUGCAUGCAAGCGACAGGAGAUUUGUUAAAAGGAAAAGAGCAAUCAAAAGUCAAGGGCAGGAUUCAGGGCACGUUGCGUAUUGGGUGCUGUUUGUGCUAGUCGAAAGUACAUGGAGUGCAUGCAUCAGGAAGAACGUCCUACCACAGAGACGACAGUAAAUUGGCAACGUGCGUAUAAGGCUCGGAGGAGCCUGGAGCGCGUCGUGGAUCAUGUAUACACAGGGCGUUAAGCAAGGCAUGGAGAUGUGCGGGCGGACACGACGCAGGGUGAAGCAUGGUUGCAGUCAGAUAAUUUUGGCUGGGUCGGACUGGACAGUCUGAUGGAUCGACAUGGAUGUUGGCCAAAGUAGAAGACGGCGGUGAUUUCAGCGACGACGACAUAGGAGCGUGAUGCUGAUGGUGGCCGACUUCUGGGGCGUGGAAACACGUGGUGCAGGCUUGAGAGCUUGUGCGGCUUCGACAAGACAAUGGCGCGGGGUUGAUUCAAGGCAGUGUACACAUGAGAGUUUGAAGUCGACAAGGCGCGGGGUGGCACAUACAACCACUAUGGAGUCAUGUUGAAGGUGGAGUUGGGGUCUGGUGGAAGACUUCACUCUGUGCUGACCGAGGGGCUACGGUGUAAGAUAUCGGAGAAUCGAAGCCUAUUUCAGCGGGACAGCGAGAGACACGUGGAUCGGACUGGGGCCCAAUGAUCUGAUGGGGACGUGAUACUCGGCAUCGGUCGGUGAUGAUCGGUGGUUCUCUGCAGUGGCGGUUGAGGUAGUGUGGGCUAGCUACCCGGGAGACUCGACCAGGACAGUAGAGGCUCGACGCGGUGAUAGUGGCGAGGCGUGCGGUAAGCACGGGACACAGUGACAGGCCAAGGCACCGGUCAUCAGACAUGUGGUCAGAUAAAGUGUGCAGAGGGUGCUGAAGCAGUGUUGACGAGUACCAGAUUCAAGUUGGUGACUGGGUCUAUCGGUGCUAGUUGAUGGACAAGAGUUGACUAUGGAGAAUCUGAGAAAGUGGCGGAAAGUCUGAAAUUGUCAAAAGCUGAGAGAGUACACGACCGUAUAUUCUGUGGUGUUCAGUGCACAUGGCAAAGUGCGGAUGACAAGUAUAGAAGGAGGUGGAGUACUAUAGCCAUGGGACAUGUCAGAGACUAUAUGGGAAAAGGGUGAGACAACUGUGAAUUUGACUCAGGGUGACACACGGCGGUGGUGAAAUUCCUUCAAGUUUCAGACAGGCGGUCAAGAAAGAGCGGUGACAUUGAGUUCAGGUAACUCUUAUAUGUGGCGUCCAAUAUGUGAGUUGUUCACUUUCACGCAGACAAUGGUCGGUAUGUGAUAGCGUUGAACGGACUCUCCGGAUGUUGGGAGCACAAAGUAGAGUAAUGAGGAACUUAAUGUUGCUCGAGUGUUGACUGUGAAGAAGACGAGAAGGGACUACAGUUGUAGGUGGAGUCACAUGGAGUCUGGGAGUAGCAGCGGUGCUCACGGCAUAUCUCAAGUCCAAUGUACAUGGAGGUUCAGCGCAUGGAUGAAUUCAAGGUGGUGAAGAAUAUUCGCCAAGGUGGAGUUUGUUAGAGUUGUGUCGAAUAUUAUUGUACAAGGUAGGUUAUAGUUGGACUUGAUUUUGGACUGUGUGUAGACAGGGUAGGAGUUGUGUCCUAAUAGGACACUUGUAUCCUAGGCCUCUCAUAUAUAUCGGGGGUAGACACACGAUUUAAGCUAUGCCAACAUAAUAGCACGGGCACGCGGGGGAGCCGACGGCGUGUGCCGGCGCCCGGGCGGCCGGGGUGCGGUAUUAUGACGGUGUCACGAGGAGGAGCGCCCGUAGUCAUGCCGCGGGGAUGUAGCCAUAUCGGUGAACUUCGUUAACAAAUCUCGGUGUCGUGCUUAGGUGAUUGCUUGGUUCUCGGUAGAUCGACGGAGCGCCUUGGAUUUAUUCUAACAAGCACCUCGUCUUUCUGGGAGGCAGAACUCAGUUCAAGCAUGGUGCUCUGCAUCACAUUGAUAUCAUUCAGGAGGUAACACUCAGACAUGCUACCGUUCCUCAGAGUAUCAUUCAGAAGUUGACAAGUUCAGAGCCUUUGCACUGUGAAAUAAUUAUUGCAGCAGUUUAUACACAAUAAGUUACUCUAGUCAUGCUAUGAUCAGAUAAUGCAAAUGAUUCGUUGAGUAAGUGUCGCGCACAAGUUUUUGUAGAAUUAAAUUAUACUCCCUCCAUCCCAUAAUAUUAGAGCGUUUUUGACAAAGGGACUGACGAAGUACAUAAUAGGAUUAUUCUUUCCUUGUGAAAAAAGCAUAAUGCAUUGGAUUUAGGAAUUAAAUGUAGUUAAAACUAAAAUAUGAGGUUCUCUGUUUGACAUGUCUGAUGCUACCACGCAGGCACAGAAAGAUGUGGCAUGGGGAAAACGGACCCGGGUAGACGUUGGCUGUGGAGUUGUUGCUAGCUUUGGAGGAUAUCUGUUUGAGAGAGAUGUGCUUACGAUGUCGUUUGCACCUAAAGAUGAGCAUGAAGCUCAGGUGCAGUUUGCCCUCGAGAGAGGAAUCCCUGCUAUAUCAGCGGUUAUGGGUACCAAAAGGCUCCCAUUUCCUGGCGGGGUCUUUGAUGCUGUUCAUUGCGCACGCUGUAGGGUACCAUGGCAUAUUGAAGGUGCUUUCUUUUACAACAAGAAGUUUCUUGUACAAUGUCGUGACCAAUGCCAUCCCUUUAGUCCCGGUUGGUGCCACCAACCGGGACCAAAGGCCGCCGUUUCCCGCCAUUUCGGCUGCUGAAAAAAGGCCUUUGGUCCCGGUUGUUGGCACCAACCGGGACUAAAGGUCACAUUCGUCCCAGUUGUUGUCACGAAUCGGGACCAAUGCUGAAAGAACAUGCGGUGCCCCCGUGUUUGGUUUUGGUAAUUGAUGACAAUCUCUAUGGACUAAUGGUUGCCUUGAGUUAUAUUUGAAGAGUUUGUCUAUAGGCUUUUCUUGGAGUCCAUUUGUUGGUUUCAAGGAGAGUUUUUGAUGACCAAGGUGCUAUUAAGGAAUUAUCCAAAGAUUGGUCUUGUGAGUGUUGAGCUUAUUGCAAGCAUGUCUUGAAGAAGAAGAUUGUGUGAUCAUUUAUGUUUACCUUCAAGACAUCAUACAAAUGAAGAGAGUUGAAAAGAUUCAAGGUUGAUCAAGACUAAGUCAAAGAGUGAAUCAAGUUGAUCAACACACAAAGCGUAGAAGAUGUACCGAGAGGGAUCACGUAAUCGCAUGGUAUGUUUCCAUGGGCUUGCGUCAAGAGGAAGAUAUUAUACAACCCAUGGAGGAUGACAUCAAAUGGUGUUCGUCACCAAGUUUGCGUGUGCAAGAUCAAGUGGAGCAUCAUCAAAGAGAUCUUAUGCUUGAAGCUUGCCGUCCAUUGUGGUGAUUUGUGAAGAUAUGGGGGAGCAAUCCACUAGUCUUCACCGAGCCAACGCAAUCAAGAAAGGUGGUCCAGCUUGAGGGAGUCAAGAUCGUCAUCAUCCAGCUCAAGUGGACUAUGCGCAAGGCAAAGGUUUGCCCUUGAUAGGUUUUCUAUUUUACCGGUCUCAUGGUAGUUGUGGGAGACUGGGUUAUAGGAUCGAUUGCCGUACUAUCAAGGGGGGCUCUCGAUGAGUAGCUUGAUCGUAUCGUUCAUAGAGACCUCAAACCAUUGCAUCCUUGCAUCAUCUUUCUUGGUUCUUGUUAGCUUCUCUUUGUGAGUUUUGGAGUUUUUGAUCAUCUUCAUGACAAGCUCGAGUUCAUCGAAAACGGAGUUAACAUGCAUAUUCUAUGAUGCUUUCGAUGUUGGAGGUUUUGCCGGUUCUUCUCGGUUGGAGUCGUCUUGUUUCCAACAAGCUUGAGUUUGCUCAAUUCGGAGCUCAUAUGCAGAAGUUAUGGCAGUUUUGGUUUCCUGUGGAGUAUUCUUGUUUUCGUGGAAGUGGCUUUAGGAUGGUCCCAGCGGUAGUACUGCGGUACCCAGCGGUAGUACCGCUUAGGGGUCACAAGUGGCAGUACCGCUGGUGGGUCCUCAGCACUAGUACCGCUACGGUACCAGGCCCCUACCGCAUCGACUCGAGGGGUCAUUUUUCGUGUCGGAUAGUGCAGUACUUCACGGCGGCAGUAGGGCGGCAGUACCGCUCACGAGCGGUAGUACCGCCCAACCACCGCGGCAGUACCGCUCGGGUCUGUCACUCUCCUGCCCUCCAGACUCCACGGUAGUACCGCCCGGGGGAGCGGUAGUACCGCUGUGAUCAGCGGUAGUACCGCUGCCUCCUGCGGUAGUACCACCCUCUGCGGGGCUGUUUUGGGGGUAACGGUUGGAUUGUCCCCCCCACUAUAUAAGGGGGUCUUCUUCCCCAUUCUACCUUAUCCUUUGAGCUCGUGUUCUUCCCCCAUUGUUAACCUUCUUCGAGCUUGCUAACUCUCAAUCCCUCCAUGGAUUCUUGCUAGUUUUUGAGGGAAAAGAGAGAGGAGAUCUAGAUCCACAUUUCCACCAAUCACUUUCUCCUCUAUGUGAGGGGAACCCCUUGGAUCUAGAUCUUGGAGUUCUUGGUGUUCUCCUUCUUGUUCUUCCUCUUUUUUCCUCCCUAGCAUUAGUUGCUUCGGUGGGAUUUGAGAGAGAAGGACUUGGGCACUCCGUGUGCCCUUGCCAUUGCAUUUGGUGCAUCGGUUUGAGUUCUCCAUGGUGAUAUGUGGAAGUUACAAGUUGAGAAGCUUAUUACUCUUGGGUGCUUGGUGCCCUUGAGCUUGUUCCUCUUGGGUGCUUGGGCGCCCUAGACGGUUGGUGGUGUUCGGAGCUCAAUCAUUGUGGUGUAAAGCUCCGGGCAAGCGUUAGGGUCUCCAAUUAGGUUGUGGAGAUCGCCCCGUGCAAUUUGACGGGUACCGGUGACCGCCCCCAAAGGUUGCCAAAGUGUACGGGUUCGGUGACCGCCUCCAAGGGUUGCCAUUUGUACGGGUUCGGUGACCGCCCCCAAGGGUUGCCAUUUGUACGGGUUCGGUGACCGCCCUCAAGGGUCCCUUAGUGGAAUCACGGCAUCUUGCAUUGUGCGAGGGCGUGAGGAGAUUACGGUGGCCCUAGUGGCUUCUUGGGGAGCAUUGUGCCUCCACACCGCUCCAAACGGAGAUUAGCAUCCGCAAGGGUGUGAACUUCGGGAUACAUCGUCGUCUCCGCGUGCCUCGGUUAUCUCUUACCCGAACCCUUUACUUAUGCACUUUACUUUGUGAUAGCCAUAUUGUUUCUUGUCAUAUAUCUUGCUAUCACUUAGUUGUUUAUCUUGCUUAGCAUAAGUUGUCGGUGCACAUAGGUGAGCCUAGUUGUUGUAGGUUUUGUGCUUGCUAAAUUAACCGCUAGGUUUAUUCCGCAUUUGUUCAAGCCUAAACCAUAAUUAUUUUAAAGCGCCUAUUCACCCCCCCUUCUAGGCGACAUCCACGAUCUUUCAAAUGCCCUGGGUAUAUAAGAAAACACUUAGCAGUUUCGACCAAAUCCAUCACUUCUUCCCCCGACGCCCCUGCUCCUCCUCGCCGUCGCCGCCCGACGCCCCUGCUCCACCUUGCCGUCGCCGCCGCCACCGAUGCCGUCAGGCUGCUCGACGUCGCCGUCGCCGCCGCUACCGACGCCGUCAGGCUGCUCAACGUCGCCGCUGACNNNNNNNNNNNNNNNNNNNNNNNNNNNNNNNNNNNNNNNNNNNNNNNNNNNNNNNNNNNNNNNNNNNNNNNNNNNNNNNNNNNNNNNNNNNNNNNNNNNNNNNNNNNNNNNNNNNNNNNNNNNNNNNNNNNNNNNNNNNNNNNNNNNNNNNNNNNNNNNNNNNNNNNNNNNNNNNNNNNNNNNNNNNNNNNNNNNNNNNNNNNNNNNNNNNNNNNNNNNNNNNNNNNNNNNNNNNNNNNNNNNNNNNNNNNNNNNNNNNNNNNNNNNNNNNNNNNNNNNNNNNNNNNNNNNNNNNNNNNNNNNNNNNNNNNNNNNNNNNNNNNNNNNNNNNNNNNNNNNNNNNGCCCCCUGUGAGCACCAGCCUGCUCCCGCAGCCCUCCCCUGUCCCGCGCCCCUGCCGUGCCCCGCCGGCGCCGGCGCCGGCCCCUCCGCCGUGCCCCUCCGCCCCUGCCGGGUGCUAGCUAUUAUAUUUUUAGAUGUUUUUUUAGAUGUUUUUAGAUGCUAUUUUUUGAUGUUUUUAGAUGUUUUUUAGAUUAUUUUAGUUUAUGUUUAGUUUAGUUUUAAGAUUAGGAAAAUUUUAGAUGUAUAGUUAUAUUUAUUUAGAUGUAUAGUUAAUUUAGAUGUUGUAAUUUGUUCAUAAAAAUUGUGCACUUUUGUAUAUAAACUUUAUUUUUUUCAUAUGUACGAAAAUGUAGAAUGAAAACGAAAACAAACAUAUAAGAAAAAACAAAGGAAAAAAUGAAGAAGGACCCGCGGCGAAGCAAGUCUUUUUUUAAGGUAGUUCUUUAUUAAAGUGGGGGGGACGUCCGGAGCACCCCCCGGCCUUCUCGCUCGACCAAAACUCUCGAGGACACCCAAACCCUAGAAAAAAACAAUGUCGGUCUCCUACCCCCUCCCGCCGCGCCCCUACCCGAUCGACAAACUCCCUUGAGGCCACCCAAAUUUACCAAGUUAAAAGAGCAUUGUCGUCGAGGCCACCCCGAACCCUUGAAGCAUUGUUGAGGCCACCCCAAACCCUAGAGAAGUGUCGAGGCCAGGCCACUAAUAUGAUUCCUUAUUGUGCUUAGCUAGCUAGUUCAACGUUUGCCACUAAUGCAUCCAUAUCUCAUGUUUGAAUAAUAAUUGCCAUGUUGUAAAUAUUUGCAGAAACUAUGCAUCCGCACCCCCGAGAUGAAGCAAAAGAAGCGGUGUUGGAGGAGAUAAUCGCACACGGAAAUGAUGUCGUCUUGUCGUUUCUCAACGACACAUGCACCGAUGGUCUGGAAAGACAGGAUGAAGAAGCAGGCUACGACGAUGAUCAAACAAUGGAGGAGGAAGGACACCAUGAUGACGGCUCCGGUGACCGAAUGGAGGGGGAAGGACACCGUGAUGACGGCUCCGGUGACCGAAUGGAGGGGGAAGGACAUCGUGAUGACGGCUCCGGUGACCGAACGGAGUCCGGCCAGGUAUAUAUAUUAAUUAAUUAAGCAUGUGCUGACUAUAGCUAAUUGAUGCAUUAAUUGUUUUUGGUAUGUAAACAUAUUAACUCUCUUCUUUUUCUUCUUUUCUAGCCCUCCGGAUCGAGCAACACUUCGGUAACGAGAUGAGGCCCGAAGAGAAAGUUGCGCACGGAUGAAAGGUACACGAUCAUCGAAAUUGAUCGCACUGGCCAACCUAUUGAACCCCUCCGGACCAAGCAAAAAUUUAAUGCUCAGUGCGGGGUUCUAGUUAGGGACAUGAUCCCGAUCAGCAUCGAGCAAUGGUUGAAGCCUAAGGACAAAGACUCUCAGGUGUCUUAUGUCAGCGAUAGGCAGAAAGCUGAUCUUUGGACCGCGCUGCAGGAAAAUUUCACCUUCCCGCCAGAGGAGGAUCUGGAGAAUCCAGUUAAAAAGCCAAUGAUCAAGGCUUAUGCUCUUAAGAAGAUGGCUGAGCUAUUCAGGAGGUGGAAGAAUGAGCUGAAAUCAUCGUUUGUCGACCAAGACAAGACUCCAGAAUUCAUCGGCCGAUUUGAGAAGAUCAAAGAUCAAUGGCCCGCAUUUGUCACCAAAAAGAAAUCUGAGAGAGCAGCGACGAUGUCAGCGACAAACAAGAAAAAUGCUGCAAAGAAGAAGCAUCACCAUCGCACGGGGUUAGGUGGCUACCUGAAAGCCCGGACAUUGUGGGACAAGGCUGAGAAUGACCUCAUUGAUAAAGGGAUCGAACCAGAGACGCGACGCUGGCCAGACUGUUGCAGGACUUGGUUCUUCGGGGUUGGGGGAAAAUUGGACCCUGUAACAGGGAAGUGCGUUUGGACCAACGAGCAGCUGAACACACCCAUCGAGAAGCUUCAGGAGUAUAUCGAAAAGGCGCAGCAAGGGACGUUCGUUCCGGACAGAGAGAACGACGAGCUCACAUAGGCCCUCGGGAAUCCUGAGCACCCCGGACGGACACGAGGCACGCCAGACUCCCUUUCGUAGAAGGCUGGAUUUCCCGACGCAGGCGGUUACAAACACCGGAUAGGAAGAAGAAAAAGGAUUUGACCCAACUACAGGCGCUGCACGCAAGGGUACAAGCGCUAGAGGAACGAGAGGCAGUUCACAGCACGCGACCUGCCGAAGCUACACCCGAAGCUACCCCGCCAUCUCAGCGGAGAAGCAGCGUGGCUUCCACGGAGCUGCUUUAGGAGCAUGUCUUCACGGCUCCUGCUAGCUACCCCAUAGAUGCUAUCACGGAGUCUCAGCAUUGUCACCUUAUGACAUAGUGGAUGGAACUGAAAGUCAAGGUGGCUGUUGGCUCUGUUGCACCUCCUGAACCUGGCGCAACUUUUCACUGCCGGCCGAUUCCAAAAGGAUAUGCUAGGGUGAUGGUGGAUGAAAUCACAGAAGGAUUUGAGGACCUCCAGCUUGACCACCCUACGAGUGACGGGGAGACUCGGCUGGGUUCUUGUCUGAAGACUCCAUGCCUAUGGCAGAAGGAGCUCAUCAACCUUCCGAACUGGACGCCUCCGCCUCCUCCUCCUCCUCUGGUGAGUCAUGGCACUCCGCCUCCUCCAGCGCCUCCUCCUCCGGCGAGUGACGAUCAGGGCACUCAGCCUCCUUCUCCGGCGCGUGGCGGCACUCCGCCUCCUUCUCCGCCUGCGCCGGCGCGCCCGAGCAGCCACCAGCCUCCUCCUUCUCCGCCUCGCCAGCAAGGGCAGAAGAGACCCGCCACCGCCCCGGCUGCGUCGGCGCGUCGUAGUCCUUCUCCUCCGCCUAGUAAGCAAGCACGAAAGAAGACAGCUGCAGCCGCUCCGUCUGCUCCGGCGUCUAGCAGUACAGCCAGAGGCGGGAGGCAAUACAGAUACGGUCCACCUCUCAAGCCUCUAGAGAAGUUACCGUACGAGAUGACCGUGGAAGAAAACAAGAAGAUCGUGCAAAAAGAAGUGAAGGACUUCUUUGAAGGGGCGAAAGCAGAGAGACAUCCACCUCCGGAGGAGAAGGUAGAUCCGGUGAAAGCAAAGCGCACUAUCGAUGCCCUGAGGAAACCACCAAAGUCUCCGCCGAAAACCAACUAUGAGCGUUACUGAAAAGGUAUACCUCGAAGCGGAGCAGUUGGGAAGUACUGUCAGUGAUCAAAGGUUAAAAGAACGACGAGCAGCUGGGAAAAAAAUUGCCCAGCUCGGCGAACAAGCGAACCAAUCGUGCCCCCCCCCCCGCUCAAUGUGUCUAGCGACAUUGUCGCUAAUGCUCCGGGGAUGGUGCCCGGUUAUAACAAUCUUGGAAAUUACCUGCCCGACGAUGUACAUUAUGAUUUCUUGGAGGUGGACGAACACAGAUACGAGUACGGGAAGCCUCUCGUCAAAGAUGAAAAAUCUCUAACAACGAUGAUGCGAAGAUUCCAUGAUUGGUACAUGAAAACCUACAGAGAGUCUGGGGGGGACGAAUACUUUGUAUCUGAGAGUUAAAGAGGAGCACAACCUCGUCGGAAUUGAUCUGUUGUGUGUUCCAUUUGAGGAGUUCUUCCAGUUCUUCAAUCAGAAGGCCCUCGAUAAAUUAACGGUCACUUGCUACUGUCUGUAAGUACUACUUCUGUCAUUAAGUCUCUAUAUAUAGCUCAGCUCUUUCAUUGCAUGUAUUUAUAAUUAUCCUCACUAUAUUAUGCAGAUUGAAGAUCGUCGAGUGCAGAAAAGCAGAAAUGUAUGAUAUUGGGUUCAUUAACACAAAUCUCGUAGAUGAAUUUCAGGUUAAAAAGAGCGCCAAAGAUGCCGAGGCCAACUUGCUCAAAUCAUUGAUAAUAAAUCAAAACAAAGAUUUAAUACUCUUUCCUUACAACUUCGAGUGAGUGUUACUAUCGUGUGCAUAUUCGGUUUCACUUAUUACUCGAGCGAGGUUAUAGUAAUGUAAUUGAUGAGUUAUGCAUGUGUGCGCAGCUUCCACUAUAUUCUCCUGGAGAUUAAGCUUGAGCGGUGACUAGUAACCGUCUUAAACUCGAGACGAAAAGAUCCCGGAACCUAUGCGGACAUGACUAAAAUUCUCAACAAGUAAGUUCAAUCGAUCAUUAUCACACCAUAUCGGCAACUUUUUGUUCAUUUCCUGAUAUCUCAAGUAAUAAUUAUUUUCUUUGUCUUGCAGGGUUUGGAAACAGUUCACCACAGAAGCUCCGGGACUGCCGAAGGAGCUGCGAUAUACAUACCCGAAAGUAAGUACUACUAGCUAGCUAGUUGCGCGCAUCUCCCGUUGAUUCUAGCUACUUUCAUCAAUGCCAUUUAUAAUGCUUCAUUAUCAGUUUGAUUGACCUCUAUUUCUCGUAAAGUGCUUGUGGCAGGAACAAGGGAAUGAUUACUGUGGAUACUACUUGGGCGAGUUCAUCUACAACGCGACUUGCAAAGAUAAGCGGGGCUACUCUAAAAGACAAUAUGAAGUGCGUAAGCAAUAAUAUUCACAAUUUCAUUUUAUUACACCAUCAUUUCUGUUGAGUUUCAUUUAUAUAUAUGUAUUAACCCCCUUCUUCAAAUUAGACGUGGCAGAUGCGGAAUGAACUCCUACCACAAGAUCGCAUGAAAGCAAUUCAAGAGGAAUUGGCGGGAUUCUUUCUUGACCACGUCAUCAAUAAAGCCGGAGAAUACCAUGUGAAAAUUGAGUUCAAAUGCUAGGGGAUUGUAAGAGAUCUUAUAUAUUGUAUAUGUAUGUAGCCAGUAGCGUCGGAUAGAUAAUACGAAAACUUGUUAUUCGACCAAUCUCUCGGAGAAGGAGAGGUCGAUCACUUCUCUCGGUAUGCAUGACGAACUUCUGUACUUAAUGGUUUCCUUCAUUUUCUUACUAGCUAGCGUGUCAAGGGCCUCUCUAUACGUAUAGUACGUAGCGUCGACCAAGCACGGAGAUAAGAGAGGACACUUCUCUCUAUUAAUUAAUUAGCUACCUAACACAAUAUAUGAAACACCUUAAUUAACCAUACAAAACCCCCAAAUCCACCACCACCCUUUUCAGAAAAAAAACAAAAACCCUAGCCCCUGAACAGCUGACGCGUGGAUGCCUAUUGGUCCCGGUUGGUGCCACCAACCGGGACUAAAGGGCCUCCUGUCUGGGCUCGCGGCACCGGCCACGUGGAGGCUCAUCUGUCCCGGUUCGUGUAAGAACCGGGACUAAAGGCUUAGGCAUUAGUAACGACCCUUUAGUCCUGGUUCCCCAACUGGCACAAAUGGGCCUUAUGAACCGGGACAAAUGGCCAUUUUUCUACUAGUGUUUCAUUGCAGUCUUGUAUGCAUAAAUUGCCCGCAGACCCCGCCGUCUGUGGUUUACGGUGGCCGGAGGAAUGGCCAUUGAGGGUGGAAAGUCCUCCUUACUGGCUGAAAAGCUCUGAGACUGGAGUAUAUGGAAAACCUGCCCCAGAGGAUUUUCAAGCGGAGUAUGAGCACUGGAAGUGGGUGAUAAGAAAUUCUUAUAUGGAAGGCCUAGGUAUUGAUUGGUCUGCUGUCAGAAAUGUCAUGGACAUGAAAGCUGUGUACGGAGGGUAAGAACUAAUAACAUAGCAUGUCAUCAUUGUUCUUUUUCUUAGCACUGUAAAGGAAUACUUCUGCCAUCCAGUCUGCAGUUUUCUUCCACUGCAAUUUAUGUUAGCAGCAUUGACAUCAACUGUUCUUUGCAAGUCUUGGAGCAGGAAAAUGCAGCGUACUGCACUACGUGAUAUUAAUCCGUGUCAUCCCCUUCCUGUUGUAGGUUUGUAGCAGCUUUGCAGGACAUGAAGGUGUGGGUCAUGAAUGUAGUUCCAAUCGACUCACCUGACACGCUCCCAAUCAUAUACGAGUGCGGGCUGUUUGGACUCUACCAUGACUGGUAAGAGUCGUUUAGCACCUACUCCCUCCGUUCGGAAUUACUUGUCACAAAAAUAGAUGUAUCUACAACUAAAAUACAUCUAGAUACAUCCAUUUCUUAGACGAGUAAUUUUGAACGGAGGGAGUACCUGAGAAGCUACAAUAUUGUCUACGCGAACCAUCUCUUCUCGAAGAUUAAGAAGAGGUAAUGGUCUUUUCACUAGGGAAACCGAUAUGGCAUGAAAACCACCAUGACUGAUCAAAUGAUGUUUAACCUGCUAAAUUUAUGCAUGAAAAAAACAUGUUGUUAUGGUUGUUGAUAGAACAAGAGUUGAAGUCUGACUCGAGUGCUGAAUGAUGUUUCUGUAGGUGUGAACUGUUGGGUGUGAUUGUGGAGGUGGACCGGGUAGUGAGGCUGAUCGUCAGGGACAGAUAUGGAAACGAUACGCGAGGUGGAGUCAAUCGUCAAGUCGCUGCACUGGGAGGUCCGACUGUCGUUUGUGCAGAAGACCAUGUGGCGACCAAAUACUUCUUGGAGUUGAUCGGAGCUAAAAAAGGGGGAUCUGGAUGAACCGUGCAUCCAUUGAUAUAGACACUGUGUUUGUGUAGCAUAUCAUAGCAUAGCAUAAUGAGAUGAUAUUGUUACUGUCAAUUUUGUUCUUAAAUUAGCAGAGCAGACUAGGCAUUGUAUGUGAUGUGAUGUAUGUAUGUAAUGCAUGAUGAUUAUUGUUCAUGUUGUUACGGGUGAGUAGGCUCUGCAAGAUUGAGCCUAACAUACAUACAUAGCUGGUAAUAAGAUGAACAAAGUCGCUGAUGAGGUGCAUGCAUUUAUAUAUUUGUUUUGUUGAAAAUCAUUUCACAAAGUUGAGACAUUUAUUUUUGUUUUUCAAUCUCAAGCAGUGCCUAGUUUUUAUCAUUAUUUUUACUUGUAGUAGGCCUGAGAACAUAUUAUGGGCCAUUUGGUUCGUUUCCACAGCUCCUUUGCCUCGUUCAUGUUUGGUGCAUGUCCUGAGGCCUGGAGAAUAGGAGCAAGUAGUUAGCCUGGAGAAUAGGAGCAAGUGGUACUUCUGGUGAGGCAAGAACAUCAUUUUUCUCAGGCACAAAAAAUUCACAGGCAUAAUGUCGAGGAAGCCAACCAAAUUACAGUAGCUCUCAACCCACAGAAUCAAAUCAUGGACAAAGUCCUCAACAUGCAUGUUUUUUAGUCAUCAGCAGUACCAUGAUAAUUCUCGUCUUUCUAACUAGACAUCAUCACGAUUCAACAUUCUAAACUAAGGAACCACGUCUUCAGCCACCACCAGCUCCAUUCUAAACGAAGGAAUUAACUAACCAUCGCCUGCCACUCGACAUCACACAGCACCACCAGCUCCAUUGUUCCUUUGUGCAUCCUCAGUUCCUACAAGACCAAAUGGCAGGCAUGAGAGAAAAGAUAAAUGGUGCCAGUCAAAUCUGCCAUAAAAAAUAAUUAUGCUUUGCCAAACCUAUGCCUAACAAGAGGUUCCUUUUUGUGCACAGGUUGACAACUAGAUGCUCAAAUAUAGUAUAUAUGCAAGAACAAGAGCUGCUACAUAAGAUUUGACAAACUAGCAGCAGCAACAAGCUAGGUCCACGCACCUUCAAUAACCAUUGAGUACAAGAUCAUCCUUGUCAACGACAAGGCGAGACCAAGCAACAACUAUCUUCAAUGUGGAGCCGUCAACUGAGAGUAUGUUAUGCUUCAUGCCUUGCUGCACAUUAUAACAUACCUAUUAGGCUCUAUGAGAAAGAAGAAAAAUUGUUGCCCAAUGCUUAUUUAGAUUAUAAGAGUAUGUUAGCGCAUGACUUUAUUGUUAAGAAUAAGGAAGGGGAGCUUAAAUACAAAUUGUUCUUUGAUAAACAUCACCCUGAGACUAUUACCUUGCCUGCUCCUUCCUUGUUUAAUUUAUCUAAAGGUUCGUAUCUCGUUCCGUGGGCGGCCAUUUACGCUUACCGGAACCCUACACCAGCCCCGGAGCCGGAACCACAAUUUGAGCCUCCACGAUACUCUGAUUACUUUUGGGAUCCGGGGAUGACUGGCAGCCAGUGGCAGUCAGAGUCCUCUUCAUCUUAGUACGACCCGGGCUACAACUACGGAUAUCCGCCAGGCCAUCCUUGGCAAUGAACCAACUUAGGCCAAAAGCCUAAGCUUGGGGGAGUACGUAUUUCCCACCGACAUUACAUUUAUGUUCACACACACUCAUUGUUAGAUGUCGGUAUUCAUACUUUUUCACUGUAAUAUCCAUGCUAGUUUAUUUUCUUUUUCGUGCUUUCUUCUUGUGUGUUUAAUAAACCUUAAGAAAAACCAAAAAAAAUUAGUUGUAGCUUUUAGCUAGUUUACCUUUCUUGCUGUAGUAGUAAUAAUUAAAAAAGAAAAACCCAAAAAGAUUUCCCGUUCUUCUUUUGCUUGUUGGGAGCUUUCCCAUGUAAAUAGUUUUAUUUCUUUUCUUUUCUUUGGGGGUUGAUAGGAGAAGACCAUGAUUAAAUUGUUGAAGUGGCUCUUAUAUGCAUUAUUGUUGAUUUAACCAAGAGCCCAUAUUGCCUUGUCUUCUCCUGUUUAUUGAAUGCUCGCAGAUUCCAGCUUAGUCCAAUGCACGUGCACUCUUAUUAUUAUUCACAUCGUUCGGUCAUGCAAGUGAAAGGCAAUUAUGACGAUAUAUGAUGGACUGACUGAGAUGAGAAAAGCUGGUAUGAACUCGACCUCUCUUGUUUUUGUAAAUAUGAUUAGUUCAUCGUUCCUGAUUCAACCUAUUAUGAAUAAACAUGUUUGCAAUGACAAUUAGAGAUCAUAGUUGCUUGUGCCAUGCUUGAUUAGCUAUGAGUUAUAAUUGGCUUACCUUGCGUGCCAACAUGCUAUUAAAAUGGUUGUGAUGUGGUAUAGUGGGGUGGUAUCCUCCUUUGAAUGAUUUAAGUGACUCGACUUGGCACAUGUUCACGCAUGUAGUUGAAACAAAUCAACAUAGCCUUCACGAUAUUUAUAUAUGUUCAUGGUGGAUUAUAUCCUACUCAUGCUUGUACUCAAUGUUUAUUAAUUUUAAUGCAUGUUCAUGACUGUUGUCGCUUUCUAGUUGGUCGCUUCCCAGUCUUUUGCUAGCCUUCACUUGUACUAAGCGGGAAUACUGCUUGUGCAUCCAAUCCCUUAAACCCCAAAGUUAUUCCAUGUGAGUCCACUAUACCUUCCUUUAUGUGGUAUCUACCUGCCAUUCCAAGUAAAUUUGUAUGUGCCAAACUCUAAACCUUCAAAUGAAAUUCUAUUUUGUACGCUCGAAUAGCUCAUGUAUCAACUAGGGUUGUCCGUAUCUUCCAUGCUAGGCGGGUUAUUCUCAAGAGGAGUGGACUCCGCUCCUCAUUCACGAGAAAAUGACUGGUCACCGGGAUGCCCAGUCCCAUGCUUUAUGUAAACUAAAUCAAAAUAAUUGCAAACAAAACUCCUCCUGGGACUGUUGCUUGUUGGAGGCACUCGUUGUUUCGAGCAAGCCAUGGAUUGAUGCUUGUUGGUGGAGGGGGAGUAUAAACUUUACCAUUCUGUUUGGGAACCGCCUAUAAUGUGUGUAGCAUGGAAGAUAUCGCCAUCUCUUGGUUGUUAUGUUGACAAUGAAAGUAUGCCGCUCAAAAUAUUAUUUAUCUCCAUUUCAAAACCAAGCUCUGGCACCUCUACAAAUCCCUGCUUCCCUCUGCGAAGGGCCUAUCUAUUUACUUUUAUGUUGAGUCAUGACCCUCUUAUUAAAAAGCACUAGCUGGAGAGCGCAACUGUCAUUUGCAUUCACUACUAUUAAUUUAUAUUGGGUAUGACUAUGAUUGGAUCUCUUUUACCAUGAAUUACAAUGUCUAGUCAGUCCUUUAUCUUUAAAGGUGUUCUGCAUUUAUGUUUUGCGGUCUCAGAAAGGGCUAGCGAGAUACCAUCUUGUUAUAUCAUAUUAUGAUUGUUUUGAGAAAGUGUUGUCAUCCGAGAUUUAUUAUUAUGGCUCGCUAGUUGAUUAUGCUAUUGAUAUGAGUAAACAUUAGACCUAAGAGUUAUUGUGAAUGUGGUUAGUCAUAAUCUUUGCUGAAAACUUGAAUGCUGGCUUUACAUAUUUGCAACAACAAGAGCAAACAGAGUUUGUAAAAGUUUUUAUUUAUCACUUUCAGUUUGUCAACUGAAUUGCUUGAGGACAAGCAAAGGUUUAUGCUUGGGGGAGUUGAUACGUCUCCGUCGUAUCUACUUGUCCAAACACUUUUGCCCUUGUUUUGGACUCUAACUUGCAUGAUUUGAAUGGAACUAACCCGGACUGACGCUGUUUUCAGCAGACUUUCCAUGGUGGACCGGACAGUCCGAUAGAAAUAGAAACUUUUGGGCGUCCAUAAAUUGUACUACCGGACUGUCCGCUUGGGGGACCAGACUGUCCGGUAGUGCAAUUUCUGCACAGACGAAAACUGCUCUCUGGAUGGACCGGACAAUCUGGUAGUGCAAAUUUUGCACCGUCUUCUUUUGUUGUUGCUUCCAAGCUUCCCUCACGGAUGGUGUAGGCAUACACUUGCGCUUGCACUCCUCCUCGUCAUUCGUGGUGCUCCGAUGAUACCUAUGCAUGCACAUGAGAGGAGUGUCAAGUAGUAUACCAUCCUCGAUGGGGUCAAGUGAACACGUGUAAAGGAGAUGAUUCACUUUUGUGUAUGUGAAGUAGAUGUCGCGCGUGUCACUCGCCAAACGGACUCUUGACAUGGUGAUGUCUGUAGGAUGCUCUGCAUCAUCCCCUCCCCCUUGGGAAAGAUCCGACCUUGGAUCAAAAACCAAAUCACCACGGGAAAGAGAUGGCAUCGUCGUGUAGAAGUGGACAUUCACCAAGUAGUCAUCAUCUUGAAGCUCAUAGUGGUCACUCUCCAAUGUCGCACCAUCGUGUGGUUCCUUGAAAAGGAGUAAGGACAACAAACACUUGGAAAAACAAAUGUGGUUAGCAUUAGUGAAAAAACAAGUAUUCAAGUGGUGAUUCACCGAACAAGUGUCGUCAUCAUGCAUAGCAUAAGGUGUGACAAAGGAUUGUGGCAUGGCAUGCAAGCAUAUGAAUUGAGCACAAUCAAGGUCAUCAUGGAAACAAGCAUGUAAAUGUGAGGUAGUGAUGCAAAUAUGUGUGACAAGAGAAUAAGCAUCUACCUCAAGUUCAUAGCAAGCAUGCAUAAAGCCCUCAACAUAUGGUCUAUGGUAUGCAUAUGAACCAUUCACAACGCCAAAGAAAAAGAAGUGUCGAAAGUCUAAACACAUGUGGCAAGACAGGCCAAGUAUAAUAUGCAUAGGGUGUAGUGAAAAUCGAGUGGCACUCAACACAAUAGAAAGAGCAAUUGUUCAACAUGUGUGAGGCAAUCAAGGCAAGCAUGUAACAAUCAAUGGGACAUGGCAUAUGUGAAUAAAUGAAAUUGUUGCAACCAAACAUAUGAUAGGAGCAAGUAAUCCAAGAAUUGGAUGCAACACACAAGGUAUAUAUGUCAUGAGGCAUGGAAAGGCGAAAAUGACAAGUCGAAGCAAGAUCUCUAACAUGUGCGCAAUCAAGUGAUCCAAGGUGAACAAUAAGUGUCAUGGUGCAAGCAACACAAGUAGUAUGAUCCAUAGUAUCCAUGCUCAUGGUUUGGAGGUUCUCAAAAGAGAAGGAUAUCACCUUGAAAGCAUCUCCUUGUGUGUCCUUCACAAUGUCGAAGCACAAGCAAGUACGAUGUAGAAGCGUCAUGAGAGAAGGUGGUUCGCUCCCAAGAGCUUGAAUGAUCAACUCACGGGAAGUGAAAGUUGACACCAAGUCGAGGUAUCCUACACAUGCACAAAAGAAAGCAAACAACAUAUAUGCAUGGUAGAUAAAGACAUCAUCCAUCAUGAUGGUUCUCUUCUUUUGCACAUAACCAUUAGAAGCACAAGUGCACGAAUAAUAUGAUGCAACAAUGGCGAUAUUCAUAGCACUAGGUGUAUGGUGCAAAGAACGAAGACAAGCAUGCUUCACAAGAAAUAUGUCAAAAUCUCCGAAUAUAUGCGAGAAUUCUAUGGGGCCAAUCUCAUAAGCAAGACUAAAAGCAUUGUUGCACUCAAUGCAUGGCAAAUCAUCUAGCAUGAGAGAUGCAACAUAUGGAGACAUAUGACAAGAAGCAAUAGCAAUCAUAUGCAAAGCAUGUAGAUGUGAUAACCCACAAGUAUAGGGGAUCAAUUGUAGCCUCUUUCGAUAAGUAAGAGUGUCAAACCCAACGAGGAGCUAAAGGUAUAACAAAUAUUCCCUCAAGUUCUAUCAACCACCGAUACAACUCUACGCACGCUUAACGUUCGCUUUACCUAAAACAAGUAUGAAACUAGAAGUACUUUGUAGGUGUUUUGGAUAGGUUUGCAAGAAUAUAAAGAGCAAGUAAAUAAAAAGUAGGGGAUGUUUAGAUGAAGACACAACUAAGUUAGUUUUAGUAGAGAGCUUUUUGUCACGAGAAAGUUAUUUGUCCCUAGACAAUCGAUAACUAGACCGGUAAUCAUUAUUGCAAUUUUAUUUGAGGGAGAGGCAUAAGCUAACAUACUUUCUAUACUUGGAUCAUAUGCACUUAUGAUUGGAACUCUAGCAAGCAUCCGCAACUACUAAAGAUCAUUAAGAUAAACCCAACCAUAGCAUUAAAGCAUCAAGUCCUCUUUAUCCCAUACGCAACAACCCCCUUACUCGGGUUUGUGUUUCAGUCACUCACGCAACCCACUAUAAGCGAAUCAUGAACGUAUUGCAACACCCUACAGCGGGGAUCCCUCACGCUUGCGCGACACGAGAGCACCAUAGGACAGCACCAAUAAUAAAACAUGCAACUCAAACCAAUCACGAUCAUCAAAUAACCCAUAGGACAAAACAGAUCUACUCAAACAUCAUAGGAUAGCCGUACAUCAUUGGGAAAUAAUAUAUAGCGUUGAGCACCAUGUUUAAGUAGAGAGUACAGCGGGUAAAAGAGGGGUUACACCGCUGCAUAGAGGGGGGAAGAGUUGGUGAUGAUGGCGGUGAAGUUGUUGGUGAAGAUUGCUGUGGGGACCCCGACUCAUAAGUCGUGAUCACCGAAUGCACGUGUACAGUGAUCCCAAAGAUCAAUGCUCACUGAACACACAGAAGCUGAAUAACAAGAGUCUUACAUCUAUACAUACCAUAUUACACAAGUAGGACCAUUAUGGUCAAGUCUUGAGUAUAACUUCGCAGCGGAAAUCUUCAUCGAUAACUUGGACCCAUGCCAUCUGCCUUAACCUUACAAGCAUUCUGACUGGGAGGUGUCCUAGCUCGCAUGUUCGUCACCGAAGUAUUCUUCAUCAUAUCCUGUUCUUUCAUGCCUGGCCAAUAAAAUAACCAGUGGCAAGCCAAUGAGUACUUUGAAUGUACUUGCAAGCAACCCAAGGGUGAUAACAGAAUAAUUAUGCAAGGCACUACUGCUAAAUUGGCAUUUUUGCGGAAAGCUAGUUUUUCUCAUGCAAGUAUGAUCAACAUUUAUCAAGGAUAUGAAUGCGUCUGCAACAAGUAUCAGGAGGUUACAGACAUCAACAUCGAGAGAGAGUUGUGAACAACUCAUGCUCAAGCUCAUCGUGACUUCCUCACGAAUCACGUCAACAGAUUUACGAAACCGUGUUGUUUUCCAGUAACAUAUGGACGUAGUCUAAGCAGCACCACCCAACUGUCCUUGACCGUGGACACGGCUAUUCGAAUAGUUUUACACUCUGCAGAGGUUGCACACUUUACCCACAAGAUCCGGGAAACUUCCGUGUCAUCCACGACCCACGGUACCUCAAGUACCCGGGGUAAGCACCGAUCACUAUCUUUCCCUAGACGACACUAACAUAGAGUCCACUCGAUUGGUAGUAACCCCCGUGCCCAACAUUUCACAUCUUAAAAUUGUGGAGCCUCGCUCCCAUAUUCAUCACAUACCACAACCACGGGGUACCAACGGUGUGUCCGGUGCCAUGUGAAGACAGUCAUGGCCGCCCUACCUGGCACGACCCCGUCCCGAGAGAGAGCACCAACUCUCCCCCGUCACUAGUAAUGCGGGCUCCAAGCUAGUAUCGGCCUACACUACUAGAAAAAGGCUUACUAGUGGCGCACCAGUUUUGCCUACUAAUGGCGCACUACUGGUGCGCCACUAGCACCACGCCACUAGAAUAUUUUAGUAAUGGCGCACCACAGGUGCGCCAUUAGUAUCUGGUAUACUAAUGGCGCACCACGGGUGCGCCAUUAGUAUCCCAAAGGUGCGCCAUUAGGAACUGGUAUACUAAUGGCGCACCAGAUGGAAGUGCGCCAUUAGUAACAUUUUAAAAAAAAAUCGUUUUUUCUUAAUCUCAGGUCACUAUUUCACAUAUGAGAUAUCCAACACAUAUAUAUACAACAAGCAUCCAUAUAACAAUCAUAUCCAACACACAAGUUUCAUCAUAUAUACAUACAUAGCCAACACAUAGUUCCAUCGUUACAUAUUACAAAAGUUUCACAUUGUUCAUCCAACACCGUUAUCCAUCCAACACCAUAUUACAAAAGUUUCACAUAGUUCAGUUCUCAUUGUUCUUCUCCUUCUCCUUCCUCAGCCUGAUGCGCCAAGAGCGGCGAGGCGGUGGAGGCAGCUGUGGGAUGUAGUCUUCUACCACAAUUGGCGUGGUCAUGUCGCCCAGCUGUGGGAUCGCCGGCGCCACCACCGGUGCGUGUUCAUUGUCAGGCACCACCACCAUCGCGAGGCCACCUUCAGGCAGGACGGGCACGACCAUCGCUAGGUCAUCCUCAGCCACCACCAUCUCUUGCCCUUGGUCAGCCACCACCAUCUCUUGCCCAUGGUCAGCCACCACCAUCUCUUGCCCUUGGUCAGCCACCACCAGCGCUAGGUCAUCCUCAGCCUGAUGCCCAUCGUCAUCCUGCAGCUCCUCAUCCCCACUCUGCUCCUCUUCUCCCCCACUCCAGUCCAGAUCAUCCUUCUUGCUGUCUUUGCUGCUGCCAGAAUCGCUGCUGCUUUCGCUAAAGCCAGAAUCGCUGCUGCUUUGGCUGUAGCCAGUGUCGCUGCUGCUGCUCCCAUUGCCUGUCCAAAUGCAACAAUGGCCGUUAACAAUCGAUGUGAGACAAAGCCAAAUGUAGAGGAAUAAGAAGAGGCAGAACGCACUGGCAUCUUCGUCGUCAGCGUAGCGCAUGCGACACAUAGUCGUGUUGAAAACCUUCACGAUGAGCAUUGUGGCGUCAUCGUCGUACCUGAAGAGAAGAAAGUACCCGGUCCGCAGGUCGUAGGCACUGUAGAACUUGUCCCAGCCACGGCACAGGUACAUGUGGCCCUCCUCGAUCACCAACUCCACGUCCCACAGCUUGCGAACCCCGCCGCCGGCCUGUCGGAGCUUCACAUUAUGUGGCGGAUCUUCACCCAGCAUGUUCAUAAAAGUGUCAGGCAGCCUCUGCAAUUUGGGACAAGGAGUGAUGUAGCAAACAACAGAGUUAUCAUGAUGAGAUGGGUGAAGGGGAGAUCUCUCGUUUUAUAUACUUGCCUCGUGGCUGAUACUGAAGUCCCAAGUAUGACACUGAAGAACUCGAAAGCAUCCAACUCGUACUCCGGUGAGGCAGAGCGGCGGUGGCUGCUUCCCCCCAUCUCUGAUAAGCAGCAGAAAAGACCAAUUCAAGUUAGCAAUAGAUUCAAGUGAAUGUAUCUUUUAUUGCAAAGCCACAACUUAGCAAUAGAUUCAAAGUUAACGAUUGGCACCUAGAAAAGCAUUUCAACAUCUUCACAGAUUUUACUAGCUACAAUACAUUCAAAAAAUAAAUGAUAUACAGUUUGUAUCUCUUUGCAAUGAACACACUCUAGGGGUUUUGCCAUCCCCCUUUUCCUUAGAUUGACACAAGUCAUGAUUUUGUUCUGGGAGAACAUCCAAAUGAAACCUUAUACCCUAGGGGGCAAUUUAAUACUCCAUACUACAGGAAGAUACAAAGGUUGCAUCCAUUGAGCUCCAGCUGCAGCUGCAGCUGAGGUAUCCAUGAGCCAUCAUGCCAGCCAGCCAGGAAAUAAACUUUACUUUCCAAAGGAAAAAAAUACAAUGCAUAUAUAGAUAGAUGAGCAUGUUCAGUUUACAAGAAUGAAUAUAAACAAGCAAAGAAUGCAUGCAUGCAUAUCAAGAGUUGGCAUCUACAGGUUCUCCAAAAUGAGUAGAAAGGGAGCAUGCUGACAUCUAUACAAGCCAAUAAUGAUUUACUACUCAAUGGAACAGGGUAAGAUAAACACCAGUCAAUAAAUUUACUACAUCAAAAGGAGUAAAACUCAACAAUGCAGCACUAUCUCUGAACCUAACCUUUGUUUAGUAUGGGUAUGACAAAUCAAUGAGUUGGUCAUCACAAUGUNNNNNNNNNNNNNNNNNNNNNNNNNNNNNNNNNNNNNNNNNNNNNNNNNNNNNNNNNNNNNNNNNNNNNNNNNNNNNNNNNNNNNNNNNNNNNNNNNNNNNNNNNNNNNNNNNNNNNNNNNNNNNNNNNNNNNNNNNNNNNNNNNNNNNNNNNNNNNNNNNNNNNNNNNNNNNNNNNNNNNNNNNNNNNNNNNNNNNNNNNNNNNNNNNNNNNNNNNNNNNNNNNNNNNNNNNNNNNNNNNNNNNNNNNNNNNNNNNNNNNNNNNNNNNNNNNNNNNNNNNNNNNNNNGGGCGGCGGCGCGAGGGAGCUGCAGUGGUGGGGGCGGCGGGGGUGGAGUCCGGCGGCGGUCGGGGCGGCGGCGUCGAGGCAGCGCAAGACCACAGCGGCGGACGACGUGCAGGCGCGGCGGACGGAGGGGGCGGAGCAAGGGGGUGGCGGCGUACGGUUGGGGUCGAGGAGUGGGGGAUCUGGCGAGCGAGGGAGGGAGGGAGGCGACAGUGCGAGGGGAACAAGCGAUUCUAAUGGCGCACCUCCCCCUGGUGUGCCAUAAGUACGUCGAUUCUAAUGGCGCACCUCCCCCUGGUGCGCCAUUAGAAUUUUGUUUUACUUACUAGCCCGACUGGUCAAGUUAUAUUCCACCUAACCCUAUCUCCAUCAGAACACGCCCACUAGCCCGACUGGUCAGCACGCAACACACACACUAGGAGGUCCUGGGUUCGAUUCCCAGGCUCCCUAAUUUUUGUUUUUAUGCAUUUAAAAUGCUGUUUGAUAUUUAUUUGUAUUUAAAUAUGUUCAAACUUGUUUAAAUCAUAACAGUAAUAUUUUUUUAUAAAAACAGUAAUGAUUUUUUAAAAGAUAUCAUCAAAUUUGUUAUUUGAAAAUAUAAUCAAAUUUGCUUUUUUUUGCAAAUUUAGUUGCAUUCAUUUGUGACAGUGGAGCGGGCCGGGGAGGGUGCGGGGGGUCGUCGGCGACGGCCGGUGGAGCGGGGGAGGGUGCGGUGGGUCGUCGGCGACGGUGGAGUGGGGGAGGGUGCGNNNNNNNNNNNNNNNNNNNNNNNNNNNNNNNNNNNNNNNNNNNNNNNNNNNNNNNNNNNNNNNNNNNNNNNNNNNNNNNNNNNNNNNNNNNNNNNNNNNNNNNNNNNNNNNNNNNNNNNNNNNNNNNNNNNNNNNNNNNNNNNNNNNNNNNNNNNNNNNNNNNNNNNNNNNNNNNNNNNNNNNNNNNNNNNNNNNNNNNNNNNNNNNNNNNNNNNNNNNNNNNNNNNNNNNNNNNNNNNNNNNNNNNNNNNNNNNNNNNNNNNNNNNNNNNNNNNNNNNNNNNNNNNNNNNNNNNNNNNNNNNNNNNNNNNNNNNNNNNNNNNNNNNNNNNNNNNNNNNNNNNNNNNNNNNNNNNNNNNNNNNNNNNNNNNNNNNNNNNNNNNNNNNNNNNNNNNNNNNNNNNNNNNNNNNNNNNNNNNNNNNNNNNNNNNNNNNNNNNNNNNNNNNNNNNNNNNNNNNNNNNNNNNNNNNNNNNNNNNNNNNNNNNNNNNNNNNNNNNNNNNNNNNNNNNNNNNNNNNNNNNNNNNNNNNNNNNNNNNNNNNNNNNNNNNNNNNNNNNNNNNNNNNNNNNNNNNNNNNNNNNNNNNNNNNNNNNNNNCAUUCAUUUGUGACGAUGGAGCGGGCCGGGGAGGGUGCGGGGGGUCGUCGGCGACGGCCGGUGGAGCGGGGGAGGGUGCGGUGGGUCGUCGGCGACGGUGGAGUGGGGGAGGGUGCGGGCCGGGGGUCGGCGGCGGCGGCCGGUGGAGCGGGGGAGGGAAAUAUUCUUUCUCUCCGAAACCACCUGCCCCGCGAGAUAUCCGAAACCGAGAUAGUCGUGCACCGUCGUGAGCAGUGCGGCUCUCAUAGGGAAAUAUUCUUUCUCUGCGGCGUCCCACGUAUCAACCAACUGCCCCAGGUGCGCCAUUAGUAGUUUUGCAAAAAAGUAAAAAAUAAAAAAAAUAUUGUAGUGGCGCACUAUGUUCCUGGUGCGCCAUUACUAGUUACAACUAGUAAUGGCGCACUAUGUCCUGAUGCGCCAUUAGUAUGUCUGGCAAAAUAAAAAAAUAAAAUUUGUUACUAAUGGCGCACCGUGUGUCUGGUGCGCCAUUAGUGUAUUUCACACUAAUGGCGCACCAGCACAUGGUGCGCCACUGCUACAUAGCAAUGGCGCACCACAUAUCUGGUGCGCCAUUAGUGGCCAUUUCAUCUAUAGCCCUUUUCCUAGUAGUGCUAGGUAAUCAAUAAUGUCCUUUCCCAUAUAAGGGUAGAGUAAGGUUGGGACAGUCGAGAAAUCUUAAAUCUAAUCCGUCUCUGUAAACAACACUUUUAUCAAGCCUCGGUACACUACUUCUCCACCAAGUAGUGACCUAGUUCAUCAUCAUCUCCCAGGGGCAUCAGUGGCACCCACUGGGGCUGUUUGCAAGUAUGUCAAACCACACUUGUUUCUUUCCAUGCAUAUCCCUGACCCACUUGCGUAGCGUCUACUUUAGCAUCCUAUCUACUCCCACCGGCAUAACCCUCAUAAGGAGGUACGGUCAUGCACAAUGCAAGUAUCAACGAGGAAGUAACGGAGGCAACCCAUCAAGGUGGUUACCACCUCAUCAUGAUUCCGUUGCAACAACAAUAUGGUGCUAUAUGACAUGCAUAAAAAGGGUUUCAUAGACAUGGUCAAAGGGCUGCUUGCCUGGUUCAUCAGAGUCUUCAAGUCUUCAAAUAUCUCUGGUCCAACUCCAAGCAUUUCGUCUACUUCGUCAACUAUCGUCGAAAGCAACCAUAAUAAGCAACACAACAAGGCAGAAAAUAAAAGUGCUCUCAAAAUAUUAAUUUGACUUUUCUAGGAUAUCUCUAGUUAUAUGAAAAAUAACCAGAGUGGUUUCAUUAGGAUUGGAUCAAUGGGUAUUUCUGAACAUUUCAAUAUGCUGGAAUCAAGGGGUUUAUGGAUUUGCAAGAAGUGUACAGAAAUAUAUUUUUGAAAAAUGAGCAAAGGCACCCAUUUAACAAAACAUGAUUUUAGAAGCAUUUACGAGUUGGUUUCACUGGAUUUGGAGUUCAAAUGAAUAUCCUAUGGGUUUGCAAAGUUGACAAAUAUGAAGAAAUGGCUCAGCAUUUGGUGUGGCACAGAAAGUAUUAAGAAAAAUGUUCGUAAACCAAGUACGAACUUAGAUGCAUCUAGGAAUUUGAAUCACUUUAUUUGGAUCAAAUCUGAGCCCUUUGUGAUUUUCUAAAGUUUAUGACAUAAAUGGAAAAGUAGGAUUUCAUAAACAUUUGUGAAGGAAAUGUUCCUGGAAAAAUGUGCAAAUAGCACCAUGUGAUAGAUAAUGAAUUUAUAAACUAAUAGAAAUUUGAAUCAUCAAAUUUGGAUUUGAUUUGAAUAUUCUAUGGAUUUUACAAGUUUUACAGAAAAGAAAAAGGAAAAAGGAUUUUAGCCAAACGGGCUGGAUCUGGGCGGCGACCGCGUGCACUGAGCGAGACAUAGCGGGGCAACGCACUGGGCCUGGCCCAGCCGCACGACCGCACGGGGCGACAACGAUGACGUCGAAGGCGUGCGCCCAGAAUAUGCCUUGGCCUCAGGGAGACGGCUCCCGCAGAAACCGUGUCCACUUAACCUGCGGGCCCGGCCCUCUGGGUCGCCGACACGCGGGACCCAUCUGUCGGGUUCAUCCCCAACCUCCCGCUCGAACAGAGUAGGGGCAGGGGCGGUGUCGACGGCGGCUUGCCGGUGCCACAGGCCACCGUUUCCGGUGAGCUGACCACCGGCGUGCUCAGGGGACCCGGACGCGUCCAACCGUGGGUGGCUCGGUCGCCCAGGGGCACCGGGUUGAGCAGGGCAUCGGCCGCGGCGGACGAGGCUGACGGUGACGAUGGAACUUGACGGCAAGACCACGGGGAGGAGAGGGGGAAGAGCGGGAUGGCUUGCGGUGAUGGUGGAGAUGCUCUGGUGCAGUCCAGAGGGGAGGAGGAGGAGUGGUAGAUGCGAAUUUUGGCGGAGGCCGACGGCAAGGCUCCGGCCAUGGAGGUGGUUGGAGGGCACGAGGAGGGAAGUGGGUCGGUCCAGGGGGUGCACGGGAGGGAGAGAAAGCCAAAGGAGUAGAGAGGGGGCUCGGGGUGGCUUUAAAUAGAAGGGGGCGAGGUACACCGUGGACCGGUGCGCCGGCGAGGUCGUUGUCGUUGCUAGGGGUAACGGGGGCUCGCGUGUGCGUGUACGGGGCGUUUGUAGAGAUGGUCUACGGCCAGGGGAAGGGAGAGAAGGAUCGGGGAGAGCUCCGGGUGGAGCCAUGAGCUCGCACGCGCAUUGGCGGGCUCGGGCGGCUCUGGGCACGCGCGGCAUGGGCAGGACAGAGAGGGGAAGGAGGGGACCAGCAUGGUGGCGUGUUGCGGACGUCGAGGCACCUCGACUGGCGCGAGGGUGAGGCUCGAGGUGGUGGGGGGACGCGGUGUCAACGCUUGGGUGCUCUGCCACGCGCUCCAGAGCAUGCAAAUGGCCGGCAUCCGCGGCUUUUUGCGCGCACCCGCGCGCCCACUUGUGUCUGGCGUCUGCAGGGGGUAUGGGCAAAAGCUGAGGAGAGCUUUGGAUGCUCUGGAAUGUCAAGGAGGGAGAGAGAGGCUGAGAGAGAGGGAGAAUGCUGCUGCCCAGAGAACAAAAAUGGGGUUCUACCCCCCUUAAUCAUGGCUCCUCGGGCAGGGAAAGAUGCAUGAGGUAGAGGAGGAGCCGGUGAGGCCGUGGGAUAAAGUUCAGCUCAUGCAGAUUAGUGGAAGAGGUCAAAAAUGGAAUUUUGGUAAAGUGGCAGAAGGUGUUUGAUGCUUGAUUGGUUAAGAAAAUGAUCUACAUUUGGCAUGAGACUCCACAGGGUGAAAUGCCACAUAUAAUUAGGUCCUUCAACCAAUUUUGAGCUCAUUUGGGCAAAGUUUCCAAUGCAACUUUUGUAAACCCUAGAAAUUAGUAGAAAUGGACUUUUCAAGAUUUAGUCAGGAAACUCUAUUCUCCUUGAUUUAGCACUUGGUAUAGUGUCAUCAUUUGAGGUUCUUAACAUGUCCACAAAAGUUGAGAUCAAAAGGAGAAAGUUUCCAAUGUAGAGUUGUUCAAAUUUGGUUCUGGACAGGAAGGGUUUGGGGGCACUUUGAUCAAGUUAACUUGUUCUCCAACUUGUGCCACCUAGAAUAGAUGAAUAAUUAUACCAUUUUAGCAUGUGGACCAAGUAUGGGAGCAUUUGGACAAGUUUGAUAAUGUAAAGUUGUUCAAACUUGAAAAAGCACAGAGAGGGUUUUGAGAGGGUUUCAGAGGGUUAUACUGUUCUCCAUGACAUGAGACUUGGCAAGUCACCAAAUAGAGCAUUUGUGACAUGAUGGAAUUUUCUUGGAUUUUUAUGAAAAUAUUUCCUGUACAAAUAUUUCAAAUCCUUGAAAUGGUCAGAAAUGGUUUUGGGAGGUUUGUCCAAUAUUUUUAACAUGACCAUGUGCUGAAACUCUUAUAUAUGGAACAUAUAUGUCCACUGAGUUUCCCUGCUUUUUCUCAAAUAUUUUUGAAGCUUUAUAAUAAUUUUAACCUAUUAAAGACCAUUUCUGGACUUAAGAAAAAGCCUUUAAAUAAAAUAGGAAAAUAACUUUUAAAUUUAUAUUUUUGUGGUUUAUGGGUGUCCUAUAUCAAAUAGGAGUCAAAUAUAGUUUUGGAAAGAUUUUUACUGCCUUUAAUUAAGUACUUGCAGUGCAAAUCUCAAUUCAGGGGUUUUUGGAAAACUAAUUUUUGAAAAAUACUAUUUGGCCAAAUUAUUUUUGUAAGAAAAUAUUUUUAUGUCCUAUACACAUGGCAUGAUCAUUGGUUCAAGAGUUUGGAGCAAGGAGAACGAGUAUAAGAGUUGGAGGAUUUAUUUGAUUUUUAGAGCACUAGCAAACAGCAGUCAAACAUUCAAUCAAAGCAAAGACAAAAACACUCAAAAGUUUUUGUCAAACCACAUUUUAGCAUGAUUUAUUGACUUCAGUGUUGUGGCAUGAAAAUCAGGGUGUGACAGACCUACCCCCCUUACAAGAAUCUCGUCCCCGAGAUUCCCAGACUAGGCGCGGAAAGGGGUACAGAAACUUGGAUCUGGGGUAGUCUUUAAGUCCUCAUGUUGCUUCUGCUUCCGUGUGGUGCUCCAUUGAACCUUGGGGUACUUGAUGGUGUGGCUUUGUGUAUGACGUUCUUCUUGAUCCAGGCUGCUAAUGGGUAGCUCGCGGUAGGUUAGAUUGGGCUAGGGGUCGAUGGCUUGGUGAUCGAUAUCCUUGUUGAGAUCGGGCUUAUCAGGAAGUUGGAAACACUUCCAGGGUUGUGAUGCACGGAAAACGUUGUGCACAUCAGGUAACUCAGGUGGCAACUCCAGCUGGUAACUGUCUUCCCUUCGUCUCGUAGCAAUCUCGGAGGGGGUUGUUAGAUCUUGGUGUGGGUUUUCCCUUGACACGGAGAUGCUUGGUUCUUCUGAGAGGAGUGACCCGUUGGUACACAUGGUCUUCGACGCAGGAGUUUACUUCUUCACGAUGGCAGUUGGUUUAGUUCUUCCUCCUCGACAUGGCGGUCUUCAGAUGUUCCUUAACCAGCUGAACGAUUCUUCUUCCAUCUUCGGGUAGACAAGUAUGUCAUUAAAUAAGGAUGACAACUAACUUGCCCUAGUACUCCAUGAAGUAUAUGGGGUACGUAAAGUGGCCUAAGGCAUUGGUGGUGAUCACGGUUGAGUAUGGCCAAAGUCUUAUCGUCCUAGAGUCAAGGCCCAUGGUCAUGAUCCGACCAUGUUGUGGCUUGGCAGGGUUUAAGGAUUCUCAAGGAUUCUAGUGUGCGGGUGAACGUUUAUCAUCUUAUCCUUGAGCAUAGUUUCUGAGAUGCCAAUAGUUCUACCUAGUCCUUCAAACAAAUCACAUCAUAUUACCAAAAGAAUCAUCUUGUGUAGGUCAACUCCAAUCAUCACUCAUGCUAUUCAUAUCCUUAUGACACUCGAGAGGAGGUUUAACAAAAUCAUGUAAGUCUAUGAUCCUCAAACUCAUGUGUAUGGCUAUCCUAUGUAAAAAUCCAUGGGUAGAGCAUACAAGCUGCUAAGCUUCAAGUAAUCAUGACAAUCCAAGUGCUCAUCCUAUUCUUCCAAGGUCCAUCUUAGUGCAUCUCUAUUCUAAGGAAACACGUCGUAUGCCACUCCAAAAUCUUGUUUCCUUCCUAUGAAUCAACUCCAACAACCCGUUAACUUCCAUUAAUCACUACAUAAUCCAUUAAUUCUACAAAUCCAAUGUUUAUGGUGUUCCACACGAUCUUCUAAUGCCCUAUAAUCCACAAAUAUUGGAAAGGGCUAUCUUUGCUAUAGUCAGUCCACCGAUUCCCAUUAUCAUGGUCAAGUAAACUCCAAGGUCAAGCUUAUAUAGAAUCCUAAAUCAACUCCGACAAUUAAUCCAAUCUCCUAGUUUAUCGUCCACCGAGAAACAUGGUAUCAUGAUCGAGAUCAUCAGUCUAAAUCCAAUUUACUCCGAACCAUGUAGAUAUACUCAGCAUCUAUACUCAACUAGAAUCACCUACUUAAAUCCAAAUCUCAUGUCCAACGAGAAUUCCUACAUGUUUACCCCAAGUCAUACUUGUAUUGUCAACUAUCUCCUAUCAAUAUCCCCUGGUUAAGACAAAUCCCUAUACUUCCAAGAAUUUUUAGCUUGCCAUCAUAAUUGUCCUACUAAAUCCAAUUUACCCAGGGCAAUGAGAGUCAUGCCACUCUAUUAACUGAUCCCACCAAGUUCAACCACCAACAUGAAAGCCUCAUAAUUCACCAAAUAAUCUCAGAUGAUCCCUCACGGUUACUGAUGUAAACUCAUCAAGUCAUUUGUCCUCUGUUCAUAUAUCCUCAAUUUGGUCUACCCUAUGGCAUCGCCAGUUCUGGUACUAUCUUAGGAUGAUAAUGUGCUCGUUCACUAUGUCCACUAGUUCCAUAAUGAACCCAGUGAUGAGCAAGGUUACUGACGCUUAACUGGUUCUCUUGCAAUUUUGUGAGUUAAGCACAUGGUUAAGGAUUCGAUAUGGGGUAUCUCGUGAAGUCUCGAAGGGUCUAUGAAUGGGUUUCUAGCCUGGAGGGUUAAACAUAAUUCUACGGGGUUGCACUUGGUCAUGGAGGUUGUAGCAGAAGUCUUCAUUGCUAGUCGGUUGCCGAGGCAGAAUCCUUAGUGUAUCUUGUCUUGCCGGUCUUCAGUUGAGGAGAGAGGUGAGAGGGAAAAGUAGCAUAGGAGGUGGGAUGCCUAAAGGGGGUUCUAUAGUGCAGGUGCAAACAAACAAGUGCCAAAAGAGCCAAGCACAAGCAUCAAGAUAAGGAAGGUGAUAUUGUCGCGUACUUGUUGCCUAGGGCAAAAAGAGUGACUAAUAUCAAAACACAAACAAAUAAAAACAAGAAACACACAAUCAUGGUUCUAUUCGAACCAUCAUAUGGACUCGACUGCGCAUAGGGGGGUACACGACUCAUCCUACCCUAGGGGUCCUCGGAUUCAGUAGUCGUGCUUUGCUCCGUGCCUCGUGCAGUCUUCUGGGUUUUCCUCAGGUGUCGCUACAUCUCUUGUAGUUGUUCGAUGAAACGAUCCGGGUUGAGCCUGAAGAGUCUUCAAUGACUUCUCGCCUGUUGAAGUGAUGGGGUGAAGGUGGCUCCUCGAAGUUGGCAUUGACUCGGUCUUCGGUUGUCUUCUUAACCAUGAUAAUCCAUUUGCCUUCUAAGGCGUCAAGGGUUCCACGUAAGCAAUCCUUUAUGCAAUGACAUAAACAAGGCAUAGUAGAGGUCCAUCCUGUCGGUUACGUUGAUGACAACAUCGACACCGAGAGUGGGGGACGAAGAGAACCGUUUUCCUGCUCACUAUAGUGAGGCGGACCUAAUGGCGAGGUUCUCAUCCACCGGUGGUUGCCGAUACAACAAUGAUAAGGACAGGGUUGCUCUAUUAGCGAUGUAUAUCAUUAUCUUGCAUAUCAUAUGCCCUGAUCAUCGUAGGCCAAGGUUGCAUCAUCCUGGGGCAAAUUCAAAGGUAUCACCAUCCUCUGGGUCCGCAUGUCCUCAUUCCUCGAAGACGUAUCUUCUGUUGGCAUUGUUUGCUCGGGUGUCGCCAAUCUUGUGUUCAGAAGAGGUGGGUGAGUGUUUGGCAAGGUGUACUCCUUCUAGGAUUACAAGGAAUUCUGUGGUCAGGGGCAUAAGGGUGGUAGCGACCAAAAGUUUUGAAGGGGAAGAGAUCAAUAAGGAAAAUAUACCUUAGUUUUCGAAAAACUGAGAAGGGAAGAGAAGUAUAGAUAGUUUUGAAACCUAGUAAUAGUUUUGGAAAUAGUUUUACCCUAACUAACGACCAUGCUAACUAAGGCUUCCUACAGUCAGGAUGGCUCUGAUACCAGCUCUGUGGGGACCCCGACUCAUAAGUCGUGAUCACUGAAUGCAUGUGUACAGUGAUCCCAGAGAUCAAUGCUCACUGAACACACAGAAGCUGAAUAACAAGAGUCUUACAUCCAUACAUACCGUAUUACACAAGUAGGACCAUUAUGGUCAAGUCUUGAGUAUAACUUCGCAGCGGAAAUCUUCAUCGAUAACUUGGACCCAUGCCAUCUGCCUUAACCCUACAGGCAUUCUGACUGCGAGGCGUCCUAGCUCGCAUGUUCGUCACCGAAGUAUUCUUCAUCAUAUCCUGUUCUUUCAUGCCUGGCCAAUAAAAUAACCAGUGGCAAGCCAAUGAGUACUUUGAAUGUACUCGCAAGCAACCCAAGGGUGAUAACAGAAUAAUUAUGCAAGGCACUACUGCUAAAUUGGCAUUUUUGCGGAAAUCUAGUUUUUCUCAUGCAAGUAUGAUCAAUAUUUAUCAAGGAUAUGAAUGCGUCUGCAACAAGUAUCAGGAGGUUACAGACAUCAACAUCGAGAGAGAGUUGUGAACAACUCAUGCUCAAGCUCAUCGUGACUUCCUCACGAAUCACGUCAACAGAUUUACGAAACCGUGUUGUUUUCCAGAAACAUAUGGACGUAGUCUAAGCUGUACCACCCAACUCUCCUUGACCGUGGACACGGCUAUUCGAAUAGUUUUACACUCUCCAGAGGUUGCACACUUUACCCACAAGAUCCGGGAAACUUCCGUGUCAUCCACGACCCGCGGUACCUCAAGUACCCGGGGUAAGCACCCGAUCACUAUCUUUCCCUAGAUGACACUAACAUAGAGUCCACUCGAUUGGUAGUAACCCCCGUGCCCAACAUUUCACAUCUUAAAAUUGUGGAGCCUCGCUCCCAUAUUCAUCACGUACCACAAGCACGGGGUACCAACGGUGUGUCCGGUGCCCUGUGAAGACAGUCAUGGCCGCCUUACCUGGCACGACCCCGUCCUGAGAGAGAGCACCAACUCUCCCCCGUCACUAGUAAUGCGGGCUCCAAGCUAGUAUCGGCCUAGGUAAUCAAUAAUGCCCUUUCCCAUAUAAGGGUAGAGUGGUUGCGCAUGUAAGGUUGGGACAGUCGAGAAAUCUUAAAUCUAAUCCGUCUCUGUAAACAACACUUUUAUCAAGCCUCGGUACACUACUUCUCCACCAAGUAGUGACCUAGUUCAUCAUCAUCUCCCAGGGGCAUCAGUGGCACCCACUGGGGCUGUUUGCAAGUAUGUCAAACCACACUUGUUUCUUUCCAUGCAUAUCCCUGACCCACUUGCGUAGCGUCUACUUUAGCAUCCUAUCUACUCCCACCGGCAUAACCCUCAUAAGGUGGUAGGGUCAUGCACAAUGCAAGUAUCAACGAGGAAGUAACGGAGGCAACCCAUCAAGGUGGUUACCACCUCAUCAUGAUUCCGUUGCAACAACAAUAUGGUGCUAUAUGACAUGCAUAAAAAGGGUUUCAUAGACAUGGUCAAAGGGCUGCUUGCCUGGUUCAUCAGAGUCUUCAAGUCUUCAAAUAUCUCUGGUCCAACUCCAAGCAUUUCGUCUACUUCGUCAACUAUCGUCGAAAGCAACCAUAAUAAGCAACACAACAAGGCAGAAAAUAAAAGUGCUCUAAAAAUAUUAAUUUGACUUUUCUAGGAUAUCUCUAGUUAUAUGAAAAAUAACCAGAGUGGUUUCAUUGGGAUUGGAUCAAUGGGUAUUUCUGAACAUUUCAAUAUGCUGGAAUCAAGGGGUUUAUGGAUUUGCAAGGAGUGUACAGAAAUAUAUUUUUGAAAAAUGAGCAAAGGCACCCAUUUAACAAAACAUGAUUUUAGAAGCAUCUAGGAGUUGGUUUCACUGGAUUUGGAGUUCAAAUGAAUAUCCUAUGGGUUUGCAAAGUUGACAAAUAUGAAGAAAUGGCUCAGCAUUUGGUGUGGCACAGAAAGUAUUAAGAAAAAUGUUCGUAAACCAAGUACGAACUUAGAUGCAUCUAGGAAUUUGAAUCACUUUAUUUGGAUCAAAUCUGAGCCCUUUGUGAUUUUCUAAAGUUUAUGAUAUAAAUGGAAAAGUAGGAUUUCAUAAACAUUUGUGAAGGAAAUGUUCCUGGAAAAAUGUGCAAACAGCACCAUGUGAUAGAUAAUGAAUUUAUAAACUAAUAGAAAUUUGAAUCAUCAAAUUUGGAUUUGAUUUGAAUAUUCUAUGGAUUUUACAAUUUGUACAGAAAAGAAAAAGGAAAAUGGAUUUUACCUAAACGGGCUGGAUCUGGGCGGCGACCGCAUGCGCUGAGCGAGACAUAGCGGGGCAACGCACUGGGCCUGGCCCAGCCGCACGACCGCACGGGGCGACAGCGAUGACGUCGAAGGCGUCCGCCUGGAAUACGCCUUGGCCUCAGAGAAACGGCUACCAAAGAAACCGUGUCCACUUAACCUGCGGGCCCAGCCCUCAGGGUCGCCGACACGCGGGACCCAUCUGUCGGGUUCAUCCUCAACCUCCCGCUCGAACAGAGUAGGGGCAGGGGCGGUGUCGACGACGGCUUGCCGGUGCCACAGGCCACCGUUUCCGGUGAGCUGACCAUGGCCGUGCUCAGGGGACCCGGCCGCGUCCAACCGUGGGUGGCACGGUCGCCCAGGGGCACCGGGUUGAGCAGGGCGUCGGCCGCGGUAGACGAGGCUGACGGUGACGAUGGAACUUGACGGCAAGACCACGGGGAGGAGAGGGUGAAGAGAGGGAUGGCUUGCGGUGAUGGUGGAAUGCUCCGGUGCAGUCCAGAGGGGAGGAGGAGGAGUGGUGGAUGCGAAUUUUGGCGGAGGCCGACGGCAAGGCUCCGACCAUGGAGGUGGUUGGAGGGCACGAGGAGGGAAGUGGGUCGGUCCAGGGGGUGCACGGGAGGGAGAGAAAGCCAAAGGAGUAGAGAGGGGGCUCGGGGUGGCUUUAAAUAGAAGGGGGCGAGGUACACCGUGGACGGGUGCGCCGGCGUGGUCGUUGCCGUUGUUAGGGGUCACGGGGGCUCGCCUGUGCGUGUCCGGGGCGUUUGUAGAGAUCGUCUACGGCCAGGGGAAUGGAGAUAAGGAGCGGGGAGAGCUCCGGGUGGAGCCAUCAGCUCGCACGCGCAUUGGAGGGCUCGGGCGGCUCUGGGCACACGCGGCAUGGGCAGGACAGAGAGGGGAAGGAGGGGGCCAGCAUGGUGGCGUGUUGGGGACGUCGAGGCACCUCGACUGGCGCGAGGGUGAGGCUCGAGGUGGUGGGGGGACGCGGUGUCAACGCUUGAGUGCUCUGCCACGCGCUCCAGAGCAUGCAAAAUGGCCGGCAUCCGCUUCUUUUUGCGCGCACCCGCGCGCCCACUUGUGUCUGUCGUCUGCAGGGGGUAUGGGCAAAAGCUAAGGAGAGCUUUGGAUGCUCUGGAAUGUCAAGGAGGGAGAGAGAGGCUGAGAGAGAGGGAGAAUGCUGCUGCCCAGAGAACAAAAAUGGGGGUUCUACCCCCCUUAAUCAUGGCUCCUCGGGCAGGGAAAGAUGCAUGAGGUAGAGCUGGAGCCGGUGAGGCCGUGGGAUAAAGUUCAGCUCAUGGAGAUUAGUGGAAGAGGUCAAAAAUGGAAUUUUGGUAAAGUGGCAGAAGGUGUUUGAUGCUUGAUUGGUUAAGCAAAUGAUCUACAUUUAACAUGAGACUCCACAGCGUGAAAUGGCACAUAUAAUUAGGUCCUUCAACCAAUUUUGAGCUCAUUUGGGAAAAGUUGCCAAUGCAACUUUUGUAAACCCUAGAAAUUAGCAGAAAUGGACUUUUCAAGAUUUAGUCAUGAAAAUCUAUUCUCCUUGAUGCACCACCUUGUGUAGUGUCAUCAUUUGAGGUUCCGAACAUGUCCACAAAAGUUGAGAUCAAAAGGAGAAAGUUGCCAAUGUAGAGUUGUUCGAAUUGGGUUCUGGACAGGAAGGGUUUUGGGGCACUUUGAUCAAGUUAACUUGUUCUCCAUCUUGUGGCACAUGGCAUAGAUGAAUAAUUAGACCAUUUUAGCAUUUGGACCAAGUAUGGGAGCAUUUGGACAAGUUUGAUAAUGUAAAGCUGUUCAAACUUGAAAAAGGACAGAAAUGGUUUUGAGAUGGUUUCAGGGGGUUAUACUGUUCUCCAUAACAUGAGACUUGGCAAGAUCACCAAAUAGAGCAUUUGUGUCAUGAUGGAAUUUUCUUGGAUUUUUAUGAAAAUAUUUCCUGUAGAAAUAUUUCAAAUCCUUGAAAUGGUCAGAAAUGGUUUUGGGAGGUUUGUCCAAUAUUUUGAACAUGACCAUGUGCUGAAACUCUUAUAUAUAGAAAAUAUAUGUCCACUGAGUUUCCCUGAAACUCUUAUGUGCUGAAGCUUUAAAAUAAUUUUAACCUAUUAAAUACCAUUUCUGGAUUUAAUAAAUGCCUUUAAAGAAAAUAGGAAAAUAACUUUUAAAUUUAUAUUUUUGUGGUUUAUGGGUGUACUAUAUCUAAUAGGAGUCAAAUAUAGUUUUGGAAAGAUUUUUACUGCCUUUAAUUAAGUACUUGCAGUGCAAAUCUCAAUUCAGGGGUUUUUGGAAAACUAAUUUUUGAAAAAUACUAUUUGGCCAAAUUAUUUUUGUAAGAAAAUAUUUUUAUGUCCUAUACACAUGGCAUGAUCAUUGGUUCAAGAGUUUGGAGCAAGGAGAAGGAGUAUAAGAGUUGGAGGAUUUAUUUGAUUUUUAGAGCACUAGCAAACAGCAGUCAAACAUUCAAUCAAAGCAAAGACAAAAACACUCAAAAGUUUUUGUCAAACCACAUUUUAGCAUGAUUUAUUGACUUCAGUGUUGUGGCAUGAAAAUCAGGGUGUGACAAUUGCGGUGAUGAUGAUGGCUUCCCGGUGGCACUCCGGUUCCACCGGAAGCGAGGGAGAGAGAGCCCCCCUCCUUCUUCUUCUUCCUUGACCUCCUCCAGAGAUGGGAGAAGGGUUUCCCCUAUGGUCCCUGAUCUCCAUGGCAUGGGAGGGGCGAGAGCCCUUCCGAGAUUGGAUCUGUCUGUCUGUCUCUCUCUGUUUCCGCGUUCUGUUCGGCUGCCCUUUCACUGUUUCGUAUAUAUAUGGAGAUCCGUAACUCCGAUUGGACUGAAAUCUUCGUCGUGAUUUUUUUCUAAAAAUCGCUUUCUUGCGGCCGAAGAAGGGCAUCAACCGCCUUACAGGGAGCCCAUGAGGGUUAGGGGGGCGCCCCCUGCCUCGUGCCCCCUCGGGCAUCGUCUUGCGUUGAUUCUUCUCCCAUAUUCUCCAAAUAUUCCAAAUAUAUUCUCCGUUCGUUUUUAUUCCGUUUGGAUUCCGUUUGAUAUGGGGUUUCUGCGAAACAUAAAAUAUGCAACGAACAGGAACUGGCACUGGGCACUGGAUCAAUAUGUUAGUCCCAAAAAUAGUAUAAAAAGUUCCCAAAAAGUAUAUGAAAGUUGUAUAAUAUUGGCAUGGAACAAUAAAAAAUUUUAGAUACGACGGAGACGUAUCAGCAUCCCCAAGCUUAAUUCCUGCUCGUCCUCGAGUAGGUAAAUGACAAAAAAGAUAAAUUUUGAUGUGGAAUGCUACCUAGCAUAAUCUUGAGCAUGUAUCUAAUCAUGGCAUGAAUAUUAAGACACGAGUGAUUCAAAGCAAUAGUCUAUCAUUUGACAUAAAAACAAUAAUACUUCAAGCCUACUAAUAAAGCAAUCAUGUCUUUUCAAAAUAACAUGGCCAAAGAAAGUUAUCCCUACAAAAUCAUAUAGUCUGGCUAUGCUCCAUCUUCACCACACAAAAUAUUCAAAUCAUGCACAACCCCGAUGACAAACCAAGCAAUUGUUUCAUACUUUUGACGUUCUCAAACCUUUUCAACUUUCACGCAAUACAUGAGCGUGAGCCAUGGACAUAGCACUAUAGGUGGAAUAGAAUGGUGGUUGUGGAGAAGACAAAAAGGAGAAGAUAGUCUCACAUCAACUAGGCGUAUCAACGGGCUAUGGAGAUGCCCAUCAAUAGAUAUCAAUGUGAGUGAGUAGGGAUUGCCAUGCAACGGAUGCACUAAGAGCUAUAAGUGUAUCAAAGCUCAGACUGAAAACUAAGUGGGUGUGCAUCCAACUUGCUUGCUCAUGAAGACCUCGGGCGUUUGAGGAAGGCCAUCAUCGGAAUAUACAAGCCAAGUUCUAUAAUGAAAAUUCCCACUAGUAUAUGAAAGUGAUAACUCAAGAGACUCUCUAUAUGAAGAACAUGGUGCUACUCUGAAGCACAAGUGUGGUAAAAGGAUAGUAACAUUGCCCCUUCUCUCUUUUUCUCUCAUUUUUUUUCUCUUUUCUUGGUGGGCUUCUUUGGCCUCUUUUUUAUUUGGGCUUCUUUGGCCUCUUUUAUUUAUUUUAAAGUCCGGAGUCUCAUCCCGACUUGUGGGGGAAUCAUGGUCUCCAUCAUCCUUUCCUCACUCGGGCAAUGCUCUCAUAAUGAUGAUCAUCACACUUUUUAUUUACUUACAACUCAAUAUUACAACUCGAUACUAGAACAAAGAUAUGACUCUAUAUGAAUGCCUCCGGCGGUGUACCGGGAUGUGCAAUGAUCUGGCGUAGCAAUGACAUCAAAAAAUGGACAAGCCAUGAAAAUAUCAUGCUAGCUAUCUUACGAUCAUGCAAAGCAAUAUGAUAAUGAAUGCUCGAGUCAUGUAUAUGAUGAUGAUGGAAGUUGCAUGGCAAUAUAUCUCGGAAUGGCUAUGGAAAUGCCAUGAUAGGUAGGUAUGGUGGCUGUUUUGAGGAAGGUAUAUGGUGGGUUUAUGGUACCGGCAAAAGUUGCGCGGUACUAGAGAGGCUAGCAAUGGUGGAAGGGUGAGAGUGCGUAUAAUCCAUGGUCUCAACAUUAGUCAUAAAGAACUCACAUACUUAUUGCAAAAAUCUAUUAGUUAUCGAAACAAAGUACUACGCGCAUGCUCCUAGGGGGAUAGAUUGGUAGGAAAAGACCAUCGCUCGUCCCCGACCGCCACUCAUAAGGAAGACAAUCAAUCAAUAAAUCAUGCUCCGACUUCAUCACAUAACGGUUCACCAUACGUGCAUGCUACGGGAAUCACAAACUUCAACACAACUAUUUCUACAAUCCACAACUACCCACUAGCAUGACUCUAAUAUCACCAUCUUUAUAUCGCAAAACUAUUGCAAGGAAUCAAACAUAUCAUAUUCAGUGAUCUACAAGUUUUAUGUAGGAUUUUAUGACUAACCAUAUGAAUGACCAGUUCCUGUCAUGUCUCUAAAUAGAUAUAAGUGAAGCAAGAGAGUUUAAUUCUUUCUACAAAAGAUAUGCCCACGCUGUAACAAAUAUAAGUGAAGCAAAAGAGCAUUCUACAAAUGGCGGUUUUCUAUGUAAAGAGAAACAGGCAAUCCAAACUUCAAAUGAUAUAAGUGAAGCACAUGAAGCAUUCUAUUAGGCCAUACUCAAAAGAUAUAAGUGAAGUGCAAUGAGCAUUCUGUAAAUCAACGAAGGACUAUCUCAUACCAGCAUGGUGCAUAAAAUAAAAGUGAAAACUAAAUGCAAAAGACGCUCCAAGAUUUGCACAUAUCGCAUGAACGAAACGAAUCCGAAAACAUACCGAUACUUGUUGAAGAAAGAGGGGAUGCCUUCCGGGGCAUCCCCAAGCUUAGACGCUUGAGUAUCCUUGAAUAUUUACUUGGGGUUCCUUGGGCAUCCCCAAGCUUGAGCUCUUGCCGCUCUUCCUUCUUCUCACAUCAAGACCUCCUCGAUCCUCGAACACUUCAUCCACACAAAACUUCAACAUAAAACUCGGUAAGAUCCGUUAGUAUAAUAAAGCAAAUCACUACUCUAAGUACUGUUGCAAACCAAUUCAUAUUUUGGUUUUGCAUUUUAGCUACUGUAAUAUAACUUUUCCAUGGCUUAAUCCACUGAUAUAAAUUGAUAGUUUCAUCAAAACAAGCAAACUAUGCAUCAAAAACAGAAUCUUUCUAAAACAGAACAGUCUGUAAUAAUCUGAACAUUCACCAUACCUCUAGUAAACCAAAAAUUCUACCAGAAUUAGUAAAAAUAAAAAAUUUGUAUAUAAAGACAGUGCAAAAAGAAUCAGAACCAUUUGACGUUCCAGUAAAAAAUGUAAAAUCGAGCACUACAGCCAAAGUUUCUGUCCUGCACCGUACAAACCAACAAGCAUUGUAAACAUCCUAAAGGCAAACCUUGGCACAUUAUUUUUAUUAUAUAAUGGAAUUGUACAAGGGGAUAAUUAUUUUUGUUUAAAAGUUUCUGUAAUCAAGAUUCACAAAGUUUCCGUGAGCAUGAACAAAGUUCAAGGCUAGCUCCCACUUCAACAAUGCUUGUCUUUCUCACUUUCGCUUUUCUUUUUGAAAAAGUUUUGGGUUCCCCUCUUUAUUUUUUUGUUUUUAAACUAUAUAAAAGCACUCAACAGAAAUAAAUGUCUCUCUAAAACUUCCGGGUUGUCUAGGCAUAUAGUGCUCAAGUAGUGAAUCCACCCGGAUCCCAAGGUAUAUCAAAGCCAAUUUUAAUUAGCAAUGAUUUGGCAUUUAGUAGUGAUCACAAGGCAACAUAUAUCAUGCAACAACAAAGUCUAACUCUCUUCCUAUGAAUCGGCAUGUCAUAAAAGAACAAUUCAUGCACACAAAGUAAAGGCCAAUGCAUAGUAUAAACAGUUUCUUGCAAUUUUAUCGUGUUGGAAACAUAGAGAGGUGGAGAUAUAGUUCCUCUCUCAUAAUAAUUGCAAGUAGGAGCAGCAAGCACAUGCAUAUUAUAUUCAUCAAAAUCAUCAUGUGCAACGGUAUAAGGCAACCCAUCAAUAUAAUCCUUAAUAAGCGUAAACUUCUCCGAUAUAGUGUAGUUGGGAGAAUUCAAAAAGAUAAUAGGACUAUCGUGCGUGGGUGCAAUAGCAACAAUUUCAUGUUUAACAUAAGGAACUAUAGCAAGUUAAUCUCCAUAAGCAUAAUUCAUAUUGGCAUCUUGGCCACAAGCAUAGCAAGCAUCAUCAAAAAGGGAUAUUUCAAGAGAAUCAACGGGAUCAUAACAAUCAUCAUAGCAAUCAUCCUUCGGUAAGCACGAAGGGAAAUUAAACAAUGUAUGAGUUGAAGAGUUACUCUCAUUACAAGGUGGGCACAGGUAGCUAAUCCGCUCUUCCUCCUUUUGUUCUUCGCUCUCCUCAUCAUCUUUUUCUUCCAAUGAGCUCACAGUUUCAUCAAUUUCUUCUUCCAUAGACUCCUGCAAAACAUUAAUCUCUUCUUGGACAGCGGAGUAGUCCUCAAUAUAUGGUUCAAGAUAGGCAUUAGAAGCAUAAUUAUCAUAGCAAUAUUUAAGUAUGGAAAAACUUUCAGAUUUGUAAAGAGUAGCAUCAUACGUUUCAAUCAAAGAAGCAAUUUCGUAAGCACCCUUAAAAGCAACAAAUUCUUCAAUUUGUUGAACAUCAUAGUAAUUAUAAACACCGUUAGCAUACGAAGAUACGAUUCCAUUAUCAAUAAACUCACAUUGGUAGGGAAGGUGUUUCUUAGGGUUUUCAGAACAACAAGUAACAUCAUAUAUUUCACAUAAAUUCCAAGCAUAGCAUUGCAAACGAUGAAUUUGAUCCAGUAAACGUUUCCCUUUUUCAGAUAUAUGGUGUCGCACAUAACAAGCAUGCUCAUCUAAAGAUUUGCCCUCAACUAAGCUAGUUGGGGUUUCAGCACGAGCACAUAGGGAUCGAAGAUGAUCCAAGUAAUAAGCUUCAGGAGUGUGAUAGAUUUUGAGUGGUUCUUCAACCAUUGGUUCAGUAGGUAUAACUAAUUUUUUUUGGUAUUUUGCGUUUCCUACCCAUAACUAAAGAUAGAAAACAACUAAGAAUAGCAAAUAAAAACUACUUAGUGAUAAAGCAAUCAAGCACACACGAGAAUAUUCACCCCACGCUAUGGCUCCCCGGCAACGGCGCCAGAAAAAGGUCUUGAUAACCCACAAGUAUAGGGGAUCAAUUGUAGCCUCUUUCGAUAAGUAAGUGUGUCAAACCCAACGAGGAGCUAAAGGUACAACAAAUAUCCCCUCAAGUUCUAUCGACCACCGAUACAACUCUACGCACGCUUAACGUUCGCUUUACCUAAAACAAGUAUGAAACUUGAAGUACUUUGUAGGUGUUUUUGGAUAGGUUUGCAAGAAUAUAAAGAGCACGUAAAUAAAAAAGUAGGGGCUGUUUAGAUGAAGACACAACUAAGUUAGUUUUAGUAGAGAGCUUUUUGUCACAAGAAAGUUAUUUGUCCCUAGGCAAUCGAUAACUAGACCGGUAAUCAUUAUUGCAAUUUUAUUUGAGGGAGAGGCAUAAGCUAACAUACAUUCUCUACUUGGAUCAUAUGCACUUAUGAUUGGAACUCUAGCAAGCAUCCGCAACUACUAAAGAUCAUUAAGGUAAAACCCAACCAUAGCAUUAAAGCAUCAAGUCCUCUUUAUCCCAUAUGCAACAACCCCCUUACUCGGGUUUGUGUUUCAGUCACUCACGCAACCCACUAUAAGCGAAUCAUGAAUGUUUGCAACACCCUACAGCGGGGAUCCCUCAUGCUUGUGCGACACGGAGAGCACCAUAGGACAGCACCAAUAAUAAAACAUGCAACUCAAACCAAUCACGAUCAUCAAAUAACCCAUAGGACAAAACGGAUCUACUCAAACAUCAUAGGAUAGCCAUACAUCAUUGGGAAAUAAUAUAUAGCGUUGAGCACCAUGUUUAAGUAGAGAGUACAGCGGGUAAAAGAGGGGUUACACCGCUGCAUAGAGGGGGAAGAGUUGGUGAUGAUGGCUGUGAAGUUGUUGGUGAAGAUUGCGGUGAUGAUGAUGGCCCCCGGUGGCACUCCGGCGCCACCGGAAGCGAGGGAGAGAGAGCCCCCCCUCCUUCUUCUUCUUCCUUGACCUCCUCCCUAGAUGGGAGAAGGGUUUCCCCUCUAGUCCUUGGUCUCCAUGGCAUGGGAGGGGCGAGAGCCCCUCCGAGAUUGGAUAUGUCUCUCUGUCUCUCUCUGUUUCUGCGCUCUGUUCGGCUGCCCUUUCACCGUUUCGUAUAUAUAUGGAGAUCCGUAAAUCCGAUUGGACUAAAAUCUUCGCCGUGAUUUUUUUCUAAAAAUUAGCUUUCUUGCGGCCGAAGAAGGGCAUCAACCGCCUUACAGGGGCCCCACGAGGGUCAGGGGCCCGCCCCGGGGUGGGGCGCGCCCCCCUGCCUCCUGCCCCCCUCGGGCACCGUCUCGCGUUGAUUCUUCUCCCAUAUUCUCCAAAUAUUCCAAAAAUAUUCUCUGUCCGUUUUUAUUCUGUUUGGAUUCCGUUUGAUACGGGGUUUCUGCGAAACAUAAAACAUGCAACGAACAGGAACUGACACUGGGCACUGGAUCAAUAUGUUAGUCCCAAAAAUAGUAUAAAAAGUUGCCAAAAAGUAUAUGAAAGUUGUAUAAUAUUGGCAUGGAACAAUAAAAAAUUAUAGAUACGACGGAGACGUAUCAAGAUGGUUGUCAUCAACUGCAUGAAACGAGCAAGUAUGAAUCAUUGGUGAUGCAACAUAAGCAAGCAUAUCAAUCAUAUCAUGCAAACUAGUGGAGCGAAGAUGCAACACACUAGGGGAAAUCAUGGAAAUCAUGUCAUGUGAGCAGAUAGUAGGUAUAGGCAAUGCACAUGACAUAUCGCAAGCAUGAACACAAAGCAAGAUCAUAGUAUCAUCAUAGGAAUGGGUCAUAAAUGGAACAUGGCAAUAACAAGCAAUAUCUCCACCAAGCUUUCAAAUACACAUACGAGAAUCAAUCAUCAUGUGUAAUGCAAAGCAUGGGUCACAAAUGCAUGGCAAGGGCAUAUGAAUGAGCAUAUCAUGCAAAGUGAACAUGGCAAGAUGGGCAUAGAAUAUGUAAUGAUGGACAGCAACCCAUAACCAUGUGAGGGCCAUGUAGAAGAAAUGUGUGAAGUCAUUGCGCAAUGGAAAUGGUGUGAAAACCAAUCCAUGGGAUCCCAAAUCAUCAUUGCUCUCUAGAGCUCAUUUCGUCAACUCAUGGGAUUGUGAGGUUGACAAGUAUUCAUGGGUACCUACACAAAAGAGACACAAACCAAAGAAAGUGUGUGCAUGGUAAAUGUACACAUCGUCCAUCAUGAUGUGUAUGUGCACGUGUGAGUUAGCACAAGAUAAGCAUCGCUCAAAGAAAUUUGAUGCAUGGUAUAAGAACAUGUCAUCCAUCAUGAAAGAAUAGUUAUUGUGUAUAACACGAUGGGGACACAAAUUGAGUAUAGAAUUAUAUGGCACAUCAAUAUCAUUUUCAUUCAUGGGGAGCAUACUGUGCACAUAAUCAUUGGGAUUAUGCAAUGGAUGGGAUUGAUCAAAAUCUCCUAACAUGUAUGAGGAAACUAUGUGGGUCUCCUCAUGAGCAAUAUCAGAAACAUCAUAUGGAGAAAAUGGACAACAUCCAAAACAAUGCAUAUCCGAAGCUAGGUGGUCAUGGCAUGGCAUAUGAUUGAAAUGAUGCAAAGGGAGCAUAUCAAUAUCAUCACAAGAAAAAAAUGCCAAUAACCAUGGGCUUGUCAUCUAUGCUAUAAGUGCAAAUUGGGUUUAUUUUAAUGGCAUACGCAUAGUCACUACGAUGAGAUUGCAAAUAUGACAUAUGAUUGAUCUCAUCCAUAGCAUAUGACAAGUCAAGUGGAUUGUAGAACAUGAUGUGACCGAGAGAAUUAUCACAAGAAAUCCUAUGUAACAUGGCAUCACAACUAAUAGAAUCCACAUGGCAAUCAUCAAACUCAUCAUAAAUGGGUAAAUCAUUGCAUGGGGAAGUCGUAGUAGCAUGAAGCAUGGUAAUAGGUUGAUCAACAUCAUGCAAGCAAUCAAUCUCAAGAAUGUCCACUAGUGGGACUAGAGCAUCACCUUCACCUUUUUUACCUUUGUCAUUCCACACAAGUGGUGUAGGUGAGGUGGGAAAGACCAAAUGGUGGUCAAUAUCAUCAUCUUGAUGGAACCAUGUGGGGGGUGCAUCAUAUUCCACCAUGGCCAUCGUCUUGCCCAAAGGAAGAACAGAGUCGUUGAGGAUUGGCGCGUCAUCAUAUAUGGGACCUAGCACCAAAUAGGAAGACACAAUAGAGGUAGAGGUUAAGUUGUCAGAAAUCAAAAUGGCCUCACAUGCCCUAUCAACUACCUCACUCUCUCUAUGUGGUGGUGGCUCACUCACUUGCUCAAAAUAGGUGCACUCAAUGUCACAUAUGCUGGAGUCACUCAAAUCACUCAAGUGGUGGUGGUGGCUCUCCUCACAUGGGAAUUGGGGCAACUCAUCAUAUAUGGGGCUAGUGGUGAAUCACUCUCACUCUCAAAAUGGUGGCACAAGUCACUCAACUCAUCACCAUAUGCCGUCGUGGUCGAAGGGAAAAUCCCAUGCUCAACCAUCUCUCGUAGUCGUCGUCGUGGAUGAAGGUUGAAGAUGGCACAUCAUUACUCUUGCCAUGAAUGAAGGCCGAAGAUGGCACGUCAUCACUCUCGCCUCCAAAGAUGGAAGCAUCAUCCUUACUCGUCACCGUGUCGCUCGCCUCCAAAGAUGGAAGCAUCAUCCAUCCGUCAACACAUAACCAAGAAACCUUCGGAAAUCGUUUACCUCAACCUUCGAAAAACAUCCGUUAUACAAAUUAUGGCAAUACUCCCGAACUCCCGCCCCAGUACUGGGUGGCGUCGAGGUGAUCUCACCAACAACUGCAUAAAAGAGAUUUCGAUGUCGGCGAAACUCAGGUAUUCCAGAACUGCAACGAUAAAAUUGUGACGACAACACCUCGGAGCUCAACUCCCCGGGACACUGCCACAACCCCUAAAUGACAGGAGGCACCAAGAACAAUGUUCUCGUCACAAAUCGAUCGGAACGAUUCCAAGAUACCCGCGUGAUCCUAAAUUUUUUUUUGUGAAAUUUGAGGAGAGAACAGUCAAAACUUCUACGUCAGGAGACCUCACCAGAGCGACGAAGAGACUGAGGAGUAAAAAGAAUCCUACUCUCCGAUAUAUAUAAUCCUAAGACUCAAAACAUUUUUAUUCUAGACUCAACAACGCCAGCGAUUCGAUCAAGCAGAGGGCUCCUAAGUCGGGGAUGGCUCUGAUACCAACUUGUAACGCCCACGAUGCGGCUAUAUCUCCCACGUGUCGAGGCACGACUUAGAUGCAUAACCGCAUAGUGGUUUUGUCGCAAGAAGGGCCAUCUUCACACAAUCCCAUGUAAUGAACAAGAAUGGGAUAAAGAGUUGGCUUACAAUCGCCACUUCACACAAUACAUAAAUAUUAUUCAUACAUCAUCCAAAAUACAAUCAGAUAGACCGACUACGGUCAAGAACCAGAUGAAAAUAAGACAACCCCAAAUGCUAGAUCCCCGAUCGUCCCAAAUGGGCUCCACUACUGAUCAUCAGGAAAAGACACAUAGUAACGACCACGUUCCUCGUCGAACUCCCACUUGAGAUCGACGCCAUCGUCUGCACUGGCAUCGUCGGCACCUGCAACUGGUUUUGGAAGUAUCUGUGAGUCACGGGGACUCAGCAAUCUCACACCCGCGAGAUCAAGACUAUUUAAGCUUGUAGGACAAAGAGGUGCAAAGAGGUGGAGCUGCAGCGACAAAAGCAUGUAUGGUGGCUAACUUACGCAAAUGAGAGCGAGAAGAGAAGCAAUGGAACGGACGUCAUCUAGCAAUGACCAAGAAGAGGUCCUGAACACCUACUUACGUCAUACAUAACACAGACCGUGUUCACUUCCCGGACUCCGCCGAGAAGAGACCAUCACGGCUACACACGCACUUGGUGUAUUUUAAUUGGGUCAAGUGACAAGUUAUCUACAACCGGACAUUAACAAAUUCCCAUCUGCCUCAUAACCGCGGGCACGGCUUUCGAAAGAUAUUACCCUGCAGGGGUGUCCCAACUUAGCCCAUCAUAAGCUCUCACGGUCAACGAAGGAUAAACCUUCUCCCGGAAAGACCCGAUCAGUCUCGGAAUCCCGGUUUACAAGACAUCUCGACAAUGGUAAAACAAGACCAGCAAAGCCACCCGAAUGUGCCGACAAAUCCCGAUAGGAGCUGCACAUAUCUCGUUCUCANNNNNNNNNNNNNNNNNNNNNNNNNNNNNNNNNNNNNNNNNNNNNNNNNNNNNNNNNNNNNNNNNNNNNNNNNNNNNNNNNNNNNNNNNNNNNNNNNNNNCACACACACACACACACACACAAGAGCACGCAUACACAAAGAGAGAAAGACUAAAACAAAGGAAAAGAUUGACUCGAACAGAAGCAAAAUAACAUGCAACUAAGAAAUAAAAAAACUACAUUUAUUAGCCUUUUUAUCUCACGGUGUGGCAACGUGCCCAACACGAAACUGUCCUGGCUUUUACAUGCAUCCCGUCUAGCUUACAUACCAUAUGCAAACUCUUUCCUAAACUGAAUUGAAAUUCAGCUUGAACUGAAUACAUCUAGGACCCUAUAAAGAUGCAAUCUAAGACACAUCACUACUAGGUUAACUAUAAUCUAUCGUACACAUACAAAAUUUAGGUUGCACUGUACAUGCAGUUAGAAUACACACAUUUAGACGGUGUCUAGCAGUCGUUGCCUAUCUCAGGAUCCAUGCGCACACGUGCGGAUAGCGGCUAGGGGUUUCCUGCUAUGAACUCUACCUUAUGGGCACGUGCCAAGCCACUUUCAUUUUAAUCAAUACUUUGGCAGACGACAUGACAAAAAUGUUAUUGAUGUCUUGGUGGCACAGAAAUGUUUCUAGAGAUUGACAGUCAUUUUUGGUUCGCUCCAACACUUCAACACUAUAUAUGGAUCUAUGGUACCCUUCCAACAGUUCCAUUAUUCGCUCUCUCCAUUCUGUCUAAGAGCAACUUCAUGUGUUACUUUGUUGGUAAUAUUGUCUAUGUCAUCAACCAAUAAGCCAUCAUUCAAUUAUUCGAAUAGAGCGUGUCUAAGUUGUCCUAUAGAAGGUGAGAGAAAAGUAUAAAUUUACUCUCUAUUUAUACCUCACAGCUUGUGCAAGAUUUUCUGGUUAACAUACAUAUAUACAACCUUGAUUUUUUUAACUUGUUUAUUUUUGUGCUGCAUCAUUACAUGUAGCCAUUGGAGAUGACCUAAACGACACAUCGAAGCAACAACACUGUGACUUUGCGUCUUUUCUACAUGCCACUCACAUUAAUGGAGGAAAAUUACAGUACAACUCUGUUGAUUCUGAACGUUUCUAGUCGCCCAUCAAAUAGCCAUUUCAUAGAUGGUAGCAUGUGUUAGAAUAAAAAUAUGGAGUGCAUAUUGUUUUUUUAGAGAAACAGUACAUGUGCAGGUUCUCACAGGUGCACACACUCACAUCUACGAGCGCAUGCAUGCACACCCAUCCCUGUGAGUAUCUCCAAGAGACCGAGGCGAUGAGUCUUGAGAUUGACGAAGUCACCAUAUGUGAGUUAUUGUUGUUGGGAACAUCACUUACCACUGAAAAAAUAAAGUCGUUAAAUCCUGAAAUAAAUCUAGGAAUGUGCGAGCACCUCGCACCGAUAACAUAUCUAUUUUAGAUAAAAUGCACAAGGGGUGCUCGGAUUUAAAUUAAUAAAGCAGUACCAACACCAGCCAACUCGAAACUCCACACCAACCUGCCCACAAUCCGGAGAUUAGUGGGAGAACUCUUCGAAGACGCCUUUGAGAAGGAUAACGACGCCCAUGGUUUCGUCGCCGCCGUCAUCGCCCCUUGUCAAAGACUUAAGCUUUCACCCAGAGUGACCCACAACAGCCCCACCAGACCUUGGAAGACGGCCAGGCACACCAAUAGCCCCCAAGGGCCAAGGCCCGCGCUACCUGUGACCCUUGUGUAAUACACUAUAGUACACAUCGCAAAGUUGCAGUACAUGUUCUUUUUAGUAAGCUAAUUUUAUCAUCCUUUUUUAAGCUAAUCCCAUGUGUAUACACUAGUAGGAGUACACGACUCCAAAUUUGAGCAGAUCAUUAUAACUUUUAGGAACAGGACAACAUGCAGGCUAAUCCUGUUGUCUUCUUGGUUGAGAUCAAAUCCCAACAGUGAACGUCUUCGUCACAUGGUUCAAUGAAGAUAUGCCACAUGGUUCAACGAAGAUAUGCCACAUGGUUCAUCAGUAUGAACUAAUUUAUCAAUCAGAUGUGGCUAAUCGGUUAUUGUUGGCUACAUUUCAACAAUUUAUGAGAGAAGACAUGCACAUGGUCCUGUAGUAAUGAAGAUGAUAAGGGGAACUCGUGACAUGUCAUGUCCAGACUUGAACCAACGAGCAGCACGCACCUUUCUCCACCGAUUUUCCACACAUAGAAUUGAUCAUGACCAGAGAUCUAUAAAUAGCGGCACUUGGUUGGCGCCAUAAUCUAUCCGGCACCAAGAUUGAUCCGACCAUGCCUAUACUGAGAAUGAGAGCCUCGGGGGUGGCGGCCAUCCUGGCUGUGGUCCUGGCGGCGGCGCUCGCCACGGCGGCCCGCGCCCAGCAGUGUGGCUCGCAGGCCGGCGGCGCGACGUGCCCGAACUGCCUCUGCUGCAGCCGCUUCGGUUACUGUGGCAGCACCUCCCACUACUGCGGCGCCGGCUGCCAGAGCCAGUGCAGCGGCUGCGGCCCCACCCCUCCCGGACCCAGCCCCGGCGGGGGCGUGUCGUCCAUCAUCUCCAGGGACAUCUUCGAGCAGUUCCUGCUCCACAGCAGCCAAUGCUCAGAUGCCGGCGGGUUCUACACGUACGACGCAUUCCUGGCCGCCGCCGCCGCGUUCCCGGCCUUCGGCACCACCGGGAGCACCGAGACGCGGAAGCAGGAGGUGGCAGCCUUCUUCGGGCAGACCUCCCACGAGACCACCGGCGGGUGGGCCACCGCGCCCGACGGCCCCUACUCCUGGGGCUACUGCUUCAAGCGGGAGCUGGGUUCACCGCCCGACUACUGCCAGCCAUCGUCAGAGUGGCCUUGCGCGCAAGGAAGGCAGUACUACGGCCGCGGCCCCAUCAUGCUCUCCUGGAACUACAACUACGGCCCCGCGGGGCGCGCCAUCGGCGAGGACCUGCUCAACAACCCAGACCUUGUGGCCACCGAUGCCACGGUGUCGUUCAAGACGGCGUUGUGGUUCUGGAUGACGCCACAGGCAAACAAGCCGUCCUCCCACGCCGUGAUCACCGGCCAGUGGACACCGACGGCCGCAGACAAUGCGGCGGGAAGGGUGCCCGGGUACGGCGUCAUCACCAACAUCAUCAACAGGGGGCUCGAGUGCGGCAGGGGGCAGGACAGCCGUGUUGCCGACCGGAUCAGGUUCUACCAGCGCUACUGCAACAUCCUUGGCGUCGGCUACGGGAGCAACCUCGACUGCUACAACCAGAGGCCCUUCGUCGAGGGGCUUUUGAUCCAGCAAGUGACGCAGUAACAACAUACUACGAUCUAAAUCUAGCGUCAGUCCUCGAUGCAUGCCUGUGUGCAUGUGAUUACUGAUAAAUAAUCUCGAGGAGUAGUCUAUAAGUAAAUAAAUGGAUGAAUAAAGUUGCCGUUGUGUGUGAGCAUCGCUCCACCCGAUCACAGGUUCUUUAUUGAAAACAUGUCUUCCCAUGUAUGCAUAACUCUACCAAGUAGGUCCUAUACCUGGUCACAAGCAAACAGCGAAAAUUUCAGAGAAUUAAACAAAAAAAUUGUGCAAGUAAUAUGAAAAUUAGAGAAAAAAACUUGUACCUGACAGCAGUAACAGUACAAGUUGUAACCCUUAAUCCUUACUCAGGUGUGAAGUUUGAUAGAAAUUAGCACAAGAGGGGGAGCCUUCACAGGAAAUCGAGGACAUGGUGCAGCUCAAAAACAUUAAAGCACAGUUAAGGCCAACCAAACGCAUAGCAGCAUAAGGAAAUCUGCAGGACUUGGCAAAAUAAUAAGAAGUUCCAAUGGAAAUAUUAACAUAACAAUCCGAUCAACAACAUCAUUUAACAUAACAAUCCGAUCAACGACGCAUUAUUAAGUACAAUUGCAAAUUCUCAACAACACAGUUACUGGGGAGUCACUCACAACAUCUAUCAUACAUAACAACUCAAGUUCAGCAGCAAUUUAUCGGCAAGCGCAGCAAACCCAAGGCCCGUUCUGGCAACGCGGAAGGAAACAAGAACAGCAGCUAGUGGCCAGCAGCAAUUUUCUCUGAGUUGUGGCUUCAG
rnacentral:lncRNA from 1 species